AACAGUAAGCCUUUUUGUUUCUCUUGUUCUAUGCUUCCAUCAUCUGCUACAUGCAAAUCAUAUGGUGAUUUAUGAAAACACUUAACUUUUCUUAACUGUUAUUAUCUUCUUGUAUACUUGACAUACAUCUGGUGUGAGGGUAAAUAAGUUGAUUAUUUCAAACUACAAAGUUUAUCAAUGGUUUUCACCAGUAGAAUUCAAUGGUUUGCAUUUUUGACGAUGAUUGCUUUUUCCCGAUCAAGACACUAAUUUUGGCUAUGAUGUAUCUUACUUUGAUGGACUAGGGCGUUUGGCUACUCGAGUGAAGAUGUUCAAAUGGUAAUUGAGUCGAUGGCUGCACAAGGAAAAGAACCAACGUUUUGCAUGGGGGAUGAUACUCCAGUGGCAGUAUUGUCUCAAAAGCCACAUAUGCUUUAUGAUUAUUUCAAGCAGCGGUUUGCUCAGGUUUGUUCACCUCAUUAGAAGGGCACGAUUUGAACUGGUUGUUUCCUUUGAUCUAGGUUAACUGAUUACAUGAUUUAUAGAAAUUAAUGAACUGUCCUUGAAAUGAUUCCCCUUGUGGUUCUUCACAUGGUGUACUUACAGGUUACAAAUCCAGCUAUUGACCCUCUCCGGGAAGGAUUAGUCAUGUCCCUUGAAGUUAAUAUUGGAAAGCGUGGAAAUAUAUUGGAGGUUGGGCCUCAGAAUGUUUCACAGGUCGGAGUGCCUAAAUUUUGUACUGGCUUAGAAUUAUUUGGCUUUUGCAAGAUUUUGUAUUUAUCAAGACUUGUGAUUUCAUAAGCAGGUUGUUUUGUCUGGUCCUGUGCUAAAUGAACGGGAGCUUGAGGGUUUGCUUGGUGAUCCACUGUUAAAAUCUCAAAUCUUGCCCACAUUUUUUGACAUUCGUAGAGGAAUUGAAGGAUCUUUGAAGAAGGGUCUUCUAAAACUUUGUGAAGCUGCAGAUGAAGCUGUUCGUAAUGGUUCCCAAGUACUUGUUCUCUCAGACAGAUCUGAUAAUCCGGUACAUACCAGUUUCCAAGUGUAUGCUUUCAAUUGUGAUUUUAACUAUAUAAUAUGUAGAUGUAUGAUUAUCACCUUUUACAGUGUCCUCCUUUUACAUCUACGUUUUGGUCUACUAACAACUAUGCUCUAGGCUCUCAUUCUGGACUAACAACAUUAUUGUCUUUUCUCAUGCAAAGAUUGGAACUGUUGAGGAAAAGAAAGUUAAAAUGUGAAAAUAUAAUUGCCAUAAAUUGUUGGUUUCUUUUUAGUGAACUGGUGGCAUAGUUGGUUUCUUUAUAAUAAAGUGCUAUUGUUGGCAUCGUUACAAUGGUGCACUAUUAUGUAUUCUCGCUGUAAGUCUUUGUAUGCGCUGCUACUUUCCAGUUUCCUUGAGUUAUUGUAAAUUUUCCCUUAAAUUGAAGCUCAUUUUGCUUGUGUUUUUGUGUCUCACUUGGAUGAUAUUUUCUUUUCUAUCUAUCUUUACAUACUUUGUAACUUCACUGUCUAUUCCUGAUUCAGCAGCCUAUCCCUUUUUCAGGAACCAACUCGACCUGCAAUUCCAAUGUUGUUGGCUGUGGGUGCUGUUCACCAACAUCUGAUCCAGAACGGUCUUCGGAUGUCAGCUUCGAUAAUUGCAGAUACAGCUCAGUGCUUUAGUACACAUCACUUUGCCUGUUUGAUUGGAUAUGGAGCAAGGUAUCGACUUUUUUCAUUGAAUCUUUCAUUUUGUUAGGCUGUUUCUUAUCGUACCAAAGCAAGUCAUGUGGAAUUUGUAUGUUGUUUAUUGUCUCUUGCGGUUCUUCAUGCCAAAUAAUAGCACUCUCUAUAAUAGACUCAUGUUUAUUUUAUGUAGUUUAUAAUACACCUACAUUCUUAAUUUUAAAUUUAGGUAAUGAUAUGAGACUGUUUUCCUCAACUGUUAUACAUUGCAUCUAUAGAAAAUGAUACGGAUCUAUGUCCAUAACCAAUUUCAGUGCUAUAUGCCCGCACCUAGCACUGGAGACGUGUAGACAGUGGCGUCUGAGCAACAAGACCGUGAACAUGAUGAGAAACGGAAAAAUGCCUACUGUAACUAUGGAACAGGCUCAGAAGAAUUACCGCAAGGUCAGGACAUAUUAAUGGUUCUAACGUUGACAAGAAUUUUUUGAGUGUUGAUAAGCCGUUCGAUCUCUUUCUUGCAUGCCUAUAGUGUUUGCUAAACAGAUUGUAAUAUUUCCCUAUUGUAACACUGCUACUGUCUUUAUCCGUAUUGGAAGAAAGACAUCCUAAGAUUCUUUGAAUUGCUUCCGCAGGCUGUUAACACUGGUCUUCUUAAGGUUCUCUCUAAGAUGGGCAUCUCGUUAUUCUCUAGGUUCAGUUUCUGAACUAUCUAUUUCGUUUUUCGACCUUAUCACUGUAUCUGUUUACUUCCGAUUUAACACCUGAGCUCUCUCUUUUCAGUUAUUGUGGAGCACAAAUAUUUGAAAUUUAUGGAUUGGGAAAUGAGGUUGUGGAAUUUUCGUUCCGUGGUAGUGCAUCUCAAAUUGGUGGAUUAACUUUAGAUGAGGUAAGAAUAUCCCCCAAAGUUUUUCAUACUAAGAUACUCGACUAGUUGCCUUGUUUGAGUACAAAUAUGUUAUUGGAGCAAUUUUUCAGCUAUUAACUAAAUACCUCUUUGAUAUUAAGGUUCUGGACGUCAGUUUAGAUGCUAGUUUCAUCUAUAUAUGUUAUAACCUUAAAGCAGCAUAUAAUAUAUGCACACAUUCUCAAAAAUGUGUGUACUUUUUGGCUUCUGUUAUAGGUUUAUAUGUUUGGAAUUGUUUUUCUUUUUAUCUUCUUGGAAUUGCUUUAGUUUAAAUCAGUGAAAAAAAAAUUAAGGCAGUAACUGUACUUUUCUCCCUAAAUUGUUUGUGAAUACCUGCAUGUCAAAGGUUCUGAUAAAAGUCUGAGUUCUCGUCUACUGUUGAAUGCUUCUCAUAUUAUAUGUUCUUCGAAUGCAAAAUAGUUUAUAUUACAAAACGAUGCUAUGGGCCUCUAACUCGUAAGUGCUAUAUUUUGCAGCUGGCUAGGGAGACGUUAACUUUCUGGGUGAGGGCAUUUUCUGAGGAUACAGCCAAACGGCUAGAGAACUUCGGUUUCAUUCAGUUUAGGCCUGGAGGUACUUUUCUGGACUGGAAAUGCAUUUGGUAAUGACCUUGCAUGUCUAUGCACAAAUACAUACUCUCCUGCCUACAAAAAAAACGUGUAUCAUACGUACAACUAUGUCUAGUUAAGUAGAGCUUUUGAAGUGUUUAUUUUCUUACAUAAAUGUUGCAUAUGCACAGACACAUUUCCUCUACACUAUUUUACUGUCCUUUUAGUGGAUUAAAUUGCUACCAUUCAUUAUCCCUAUAAAGCUUUCCAGUAUUAUCUCUAAUUUAGUAUAUUUUGUUAUAUGAAAGGUGAAUAUCAUGGAAACAACCCAGAAAUGUCUAAAUUACUUCAUAAAGCCGUCCGCGAAAAGAGUGAGACAGCCUAUGCAGUCUAUCAGCAGCAUUUAGCCAACCGUCCUAUUACGGUGAGUGCUAUAAUCUCAUCUUCAAAUCUGAUUGUCUGUUUUCUGGAACAAGUGAAUAUGAUUCUUUGUAUAUUCUUGUUGUAGGUUUUCCGCGAUCUUCUUGAGUUCAAAAGUGACCGUAACCCUAUCCCUGUUGGGAAGGUUGAGCCUGCUUCCUCUAUCGUGGAACGGUUUUGUACAGGUGGAAUGUCUCUUGGAGCAAUCUCAAGAGAAACUCAUGAGACAAUUGCUAUUGCAAUGAACAGAUUAGGAGGAAAAUCCAACUCAGGGGAAGGAGGCGAGGUAGUUGUUCAUUGUCUAGUUCAGAUCUUGUUCAACUUCAAAACGCAUUUACCUAGCUAAAGAUUCACCGUCUAUCUUGCUAGGAUCCGAUCCGCUGGAAGCCGCUAACAGAUGUUGUUGAUGGGUAUUCUUCAACUCUGCCACAUCUUAAAGGUCUUCGAAAUGGGGAUACGGCUACAAGUGCUAUUAAGCAGGUACUGGAAGUCAACUUGACUUGUGGACAUUUCAUAUUUUCAUGUGUACAGUCUUGCUUACUCUAAGGAAGUUAUUGGGAAUUCUUUUGUUGUCUUCAUAGACAUUAUCAAUUUGUACUUUUCUAAUGAUUUCCAGUUUUCAAAAUGACCUUUUAUAUUAUCAUAGGUUGCCUCAGGGCGUUUUGGUGUCACUCCGACGUUUUUGGUUAAUGCGGACCAGUUGGAAAUUAAAGUUGCUCAAGGGGCGAAGCCAGGUGAAGGUGGCCAACUUCCUGGGAAAAAAGUCAGCGCAUAUAUUGCUAGACUUAGAAAUUCUAAACCAGGAGUUCCGCUUAUUUCUCCACCUCCACAUCAUGAUAUUUAUUCCAUAGAGGAUCUGGCACAGUUGAUCUUUGAUCUCCAUCAGGUAUUUUACUUUGGCUGUAAAUAUAUUGCCAACUUUAGAAUCUGGGCUCCCUCUUAACAAAAAAUUAUAAUCAGGUCAACCCCAAGGCAAAAGUGUCAGUCAAGCUUGUAUCAGAAACUGGAAUAGGAACAGUUGCCUCCGGAGUAGCGAAGGCUAAUGCCGAUAUCAUACAGGUAUGCACAUUCUUUCAGAGUUUGUGAGAAAUUUGAAAUUGGAGAAUUGUAAAUAUUUAUUCAAAUUAUACAAUUCUGUGGGGGCCAUGCUAUGGCAAGAUAUUGGCUAAUGACGAUUCUUAUUCCAUUUCUCAAAACAAUUAUGUAUAUGGUCAAUUGUGUCUAUGAAUUACUGAAACAUAGUUAUACUUAUACAAUUAUGGACUUUUGAAACAUAUGAUGCUUCGUUGUUUACAGAUAUCAGGAUAUGAUGGUGGAACUGGAGCCAGCCCUAUAAGUUCCAUUAAGCAUGCUGGUGGCCCGUGGGAGCUGGGACUAGCUGAAACCCAGAAGGUAUAUUAUAUAACUUCGUCGUGAGAAUAUGUUUUUCAUUUUAGUUUGCCCUGGUAUCAGCUUCAAAUUUCCGUGUAGUCUCUUAUUAACUCCUUGAUGUCUAUUGAUAGCUAAGCUUCAUUCUUUUGCAGACUCUCAUUGGAAAUGGACUAAGGGAAAGAGUUAUUAUCAGGGUUGAUGGCGGAUUCAAAAGUGGUGUGGAUGUGUUGAUAGCUGCAGCUAUGGGCGCUGAUGAGUAUGGUUUUGGUACUCUGGCAAUGAUUGCCACAGGAUGUAUCAUGGCUCGCAUUUGCCACACUAAUAACUGCCCCGUUGGUGUUGCCAGUCAGGUAAUUUGGAUUCUCUUCUUACUUGUUAUUGUAUAUUUCCCCAAUGUAUAACCAAUUUCCACUAAGAUUUCCCUGAAUUCGGUUACAGAGAGAGGAACUGCGUGCACGUUUCCCCGGUCUUCCUGGUGAUCUUGUCAACUUCUUCUUGUAUAUUGCAGAGGAGGUAAUCUUCAGGAAUAUUUUCUCUUAUACAAAAGUUCAUUGAUUUUAACACUAAUAUUUCAUCUAAUUUUUGUAGGUGAGGGGCAUAUUAGCUCAGCUGGGAUAUGAAAAGUUGGAUGAUAUAAUUGGGCGGACAGAUUUGCUAAAGGCUAGGGAUAUCUCGCUCGUGAAAACUCAUCUCGACCUCAGUUAUCUCUUAUCUGUAAGCAGACCAGAGCUGUGUUUAUCGUUUUUCUAGUGCAUAUGCCUACCCGCAAGUUGUAUCUGUGUAGAUCUCAUUCCUUCUCCAAAUUUGCAGUCUGUUGGGCUACCAAAACGAAGCAGUACUUCCAUUAGGAAGCAGGAGGUUCAUUCAAAUGGUCCUGUUCUUGAUGAUACUCUACUUCAGGAUCCAGAGGUAACACAUUAUGCAGCUUAUGCAAAAAUCUGAAAAAACCCUUCUUUACUCGUUUAAGUACUCUUCUACAUAUGCAACUAUGCAAGUAAGACUCUUAAUACUUACUUUUUGGUUAUUUCCCAGAUAAUGGAUGCAAUUGAGAAUGAAAAGACGGUUCACAAAACCAUGAGUAUAUACAAUGUAGAUCGUUCUGUUUGCGGUCGGAUUGCUGGGGUGAUUGCGAAGAAAUACGGAGACACUGGUUUUGCUGGACAACUGAACCUAACGUAAGACAAUGUUAUGAGACAGUAAACACGUAACAAACUUUAAAUAUAUAUGUAAUGAGAACAUGUUUUAAACUUACACGUUCCACUCUGUACCUCUAUAGGUUCACUGGAAGUGCUGGCCAAUCUUUUGCAUGUUUCCUAACUCCUGGAAUGAAUAUACGUCUUGUGGGUGAAGCCAACGACUAUGUGGGAAAGGUAUGUCUCAAAAUCACAGUUUUCUUUCAAAAAUAUUUUUGAUUAAUGGAUUAAUGGUCUCUAAAUAUACUGUUUUACCUCAAGGGAAUGGCGGGAGGUGAAGUUGUGAUAUUACCAGUGGAAUCGACUGGUUUUCGUCCCGAAGACGCAACUAUUGUAGGAAACACUUGUCUGUAUGGUGCAACUGGUGGUUUAUUAUUUGUCAGAGGCAAAGCAGGGGAGAGAUUUGCGGUUAGAAACUCUCUAGCUCAAGCUGUUGUUGAAGGCACUGGAGAUCAUUGCUGUGAAUAUAUGACUGGUGGUUGUGUCGUUAUACUUGGGAAGUAAGUAGAACUCUUUUUCUCAGCCUCUAGCCCUAAACCAAAACCUAGAACUUAAGAGUGUCUUAAACGCCAAAUAUCUUAAUAGUUUCUUUCUGAAAAUUGCAGAGUUGGUAGAAAUGUAGCCGCUGGGAUGACAGGUGGAUUGGCAUAUAUCCUUGACGAAGACAACACUCUCCUCCCUAAGGUUAAACAUCACAAAUUAUCUUGAAGAUAUUUUCUUUAUUGUUUGUGAAACAUUGAAAUGAAUCGCAUUGAACAACAGAUGAACAAAGAGAUAGUGAAGAUCCAAAGAGUGACUUCACCAGUGGGACAAACACAGCUUAAAAGCCUGAUCCAGGCUCAUGUGGUAACUACCUAAUUCCCUCUUUCCUUUCUCUUAUCGGGUCCUAUUCGUCUAAAAUCAUCUCACGGAGUCGUUUUAUUAUCAUAGGAGAAAACGGGAAGCAGCAAAGGGGCAAUGAUUGUGGAAGAGUGGGAUAAGUAUCUAGCAAUGUUCUGGCAACUUGUACCUCCGAGUGAAGAAGACACACCUGAGGCUAACUCAGACCACAUCCUGAAAACAACCACAGGAGAUGAAGAACAGGUUUCAAGCACAUUAGCAGAGAAGUAAAACCUACACAUUUGAUCGUGGUUUCCUCUUUGUACAGUCAAAGUCGUGGUGGAGGAGAUAAGUAAGUCUCUCAGUUGCUGAGAACAUAACAAUUUACAAGUUCACCACUUGAUUUUGAUGUGGUUUUAAUUCGUUCUGGACUCGCUUAUCUUUUGGUUUACUUCGUCCCAGUCACGUUAGUAAUAAAACGAAAUCCAGCAUGCUUGUACUUUGUAUGGAAACAUCAUUAGUCUUCCGAUUCCCGAUUAUUAAGAAAGGGUUUUCGAUUUUUAUCCAUUGUUUUUUUUUUACUAGGAUGCUUAAUUUGGUUUCUCGUGAGUUUGUAGUUAAUUAAUCGGUAUAGAAAAUUUAGUUUACGGGAUUUAGAAUGGAUGUUAAGAAGAAAAAAAGUUGGUUAAACUUAGAUUCGAUUUUGGUUUUUAUUAUCAGGAUUAAUAUUUGGUUUGAUUUUACGGACCACUUUACUUUGAUUAGUCCGAACCUGUUUGAUUUUCUCUGGUCAAAUUAUUGUUGUUCUCUCCACAUCUACAUUCCAUAUUUGUAGAUUUGGAAUUUUGGGAUAUAUGAAAGAAAAAAAUGAUCGUCUCUUAUUUGACUAGAACAAAAUAUAGUUUUUGUGUAUCCACAGACCAAAGAUUUGUAUUGUGCGAGUAUUUUGAUUUACUUCUUUUUCAAAAAAAAAAAAAAAAAAAAAAAGGAUUUUGAUUUUCUUACGGAAAAAAAAAGUCUCGAGAAUUUCUUCUAGUAAUGCAUGUACGUUGAACGUUUAAAGGUUUUAAGACAAUAUAUCGUGAAACCGAUGUUUGUCCCCAUAUAGGUAAGUGGAAUGGGUCACGAGAAAGGUACGUGUGUGUUCGUUGACAAAAACUCCAUUAAGUCUGAUGUUUAUUCUCUGUUGUCUCAGCUCUCACGUGGUAAACACAACAGAAAUAUAGCUGACACGUGUAAACGUCGGUGUCUUAACGUCAAUUUUUUCUUGUCCCAUGAAAUUUUCCAAGCUUUAAAAUAAAGAAAGUUCUUAAACACGAAAAUUCGAAAGUUCUUAAAGCACCAAAUAAUGGAACUGGACAUGUUCAUUGUAUCGUCCGCGUCACAAAAAGCAGAAAGAUGUCAGCAUUUACUUAAAUUCUUACAACAACAACAAAUGGGAAGAGAGUGUAAGUUCAUUGCAUUUGCGAGAGAAAUCGUUACGUCUUCUCUUCUCUCCUCCUUAACCAGUAUACAUUGUACAUAUCUAUAAAUUUGUGAAAUAAAUCCCUGCCGUUCAUUUUGACUGUUUAUUUCGAUACGAAUUAAACUCAAUAUUUGGAUAUAAUGCAAUCUCAAUAAUAUAAAGAAGCAUUUAUUCAGUCGGUAUUCAGCAAUUAAUGAUACCUAAAAGGUUUUAUUACAUUUUAAUCCAACUUUUAAAAUCAUCUUUUAACGAGUGACGUACAUUUGAUUGGACCCACUAACCACCCCAAUUUAAAGCAUCGUCACCUAUAAAAUCUCUCAAAUUAGAAAUAACCAACGACCGUGGAGAAAAAUUUGUUGCUCGAGAGAGGAAAAAAAACUAAUCAAAGACUGUUUUCUUGUGAAUUAUCGACAUUUGAUAAUGCUUUAAAUCGUGUCGUGUUACUACUUUAGGUUGAAUAAUAAAGAGUCUCAAAAUCGUUUUUUUUUUUUACAUUUCAUUACAUCUAAUAAAAUAAAUAAAUAAAAAAGAAUUAUGCAUCGUAUAUAUAUAUACUUAUAGAAUCAAUGAUUUUAAUGAGGAAAUUCUAUCAUCCUCGAUUUAUAAAGUUGGAUCAUUUAUUUUGUCGAUAUUAGAUAACGAGAUUUGUCGUGAUGUUUUCAAUAGAUUAUGUGGUUACAUUUGGAAAGCGAGAAAUGAAAAAGUAUUUUAUUGCGGAACUUAUAAAAUAUUGUUAAAUAUGGUGUGAGAUUUUUCCUUUUUCAAAAACGGCGUGAGAGUAAUUGAGAAUUACAUUAGGAAAACAAAUCAUGAAGUAUAUGGGAAACCACCAUAUGAACAUAUCAAACUUGAGAAAGCUAAGAUACAAACAUGAAAUAUAGGCAUGACCAAAAUUUUCCUUAAUAUUUCCAAAUAAAUCGCUCAUGAAAUUUUUCCAUUACAUUUGGGGAUGAAAUUUGUUCUCUGAACUAUAGCGAUCAUUCUUUCGAAUGGAAUUGGAUACCAAAUCGUCGAGGCAGAUUGUUCAGAGUUGAUCAAAAUUAUCCAUUCUUCUAUAGAAUGGUCAGCUUUUCCCAAUAUUAUAGACGAGUUAUGCAUAAUUCAUAAUAAAGUGAUUCAUGCGUACUGUAUGGUGGAUUGUUGGCCCACUCUUCUAGAAUUUUGUUUCAUGCAUUUUAAUUAGCUUACAAAUAAAUAACAAAACGGUUUCAAGUUUUUCUUACGAACUUCCAAAGCGAUUCAAGAACGUUAAGCGAGAACUGAUUCCUUAACUUAUGAGUGACGUUACGGAACAAGUAAAAUAAAAAAAAUAAAAAAAAAAAUCAUGCUUGCAUUUAUUUUCAGAGUGAAAUGUAGAAACUCGAAUCUAUGAUCAUCUGAGUACUGGAAAAUAAUAUAUGGCAUGAAUCAUGAUGAUAUAAUAUAUCUGAUAUCUGUAUGCUUAAUUAAAUGAUCAAUCGGAAUUGGUUCAACUGAUUAGAAAAUUAGAAAUUACACUUCAAAUUUUACAAUGACUCUUACCAGACGAUCCAACUCGAAUCACCCUAAAACGAAAAGAAAAGAAAAAACAUAAAAAGGGUCUAAAUUUUAAUCAUAUAGAAACUGCAUGGAUUCACAAUUAUCAUCAAACGACGACGCAUUCACAUAUGUGAGUUGAGUCAUCUGGAUCAUCGACUCAUUGUCUCACUACCAUCACAUUACAUGCCUAGAAGUAGUGUCAAAGGAAGAUGAAGAGAGAAAAUGAGCUUGAUGAGGUGGAUAAUAAAUGGCUAAGUAAAUAAGCAUUAGCAUCAGCACCACCGGAAUUCCCAUCAAUAUCAUCGGCGGCGGCGGAAGCGGCGGCAGAACGGCUGGAAGAACCGCCAAUAGCACCAUCACCACUCCAAUCACAAACAUUUCGACGAUCCUUUCGUAUGUAAAUCUUAUUUACUUUCUUAGUUGAUGCACCUAUAUAUAUAUAAUGUCAAAUAAGAUUUUAAUAACUUUUUCUUUCUUUAAUUAUGUUUUUGUUCGUUUUCCUUUUUUAUGUGUGUGAGAGAGAAAGACGUUACAGCUUACAGGUGAAGCUCAUGCACUGACCAACACCAUUUGCUUAUUCACCCAAUGACAAAAUUAAACAACCCUUUACCAUUCUUUUUAUUUAUUUUUAUUCAGUAGUAUAUGUUAAUUUACAUAGGAAUUUGAAAUAUUUACUUUAAAUGUCAUUUUCUUUUUUUAACAUGUAAGGGAAAAAAUAUUCUCCAUAUUAAGUAAUAAUAACUGAUUUUUUUCUCUUGUUAAUGAAAUUGAAAUUUGAUAAAGCUCCAUAUUAAAAGUAUACACUACACACAUUUUAGGAGAAAUGAAAUGUGUGUGUAAUGUGUAUUGUUGAUAUCUGGAAAACAAAACGCAAUUUAUAUUAUACAUAUAUAUAUAUAUAAUUAUAUACAUGUUUAUGUGUAUUGACAUCAUAUAGGUUGUUUAACCAAAUUUAUAAUUAAAAAAAAAAAACUAAAUGAAAUAUAUAAAGGGACGUUUGACAUAGGUAAGGCUAGCUAUGUAUUAACGUGUCGGCUUAAACUAUUUUCCAUUAAUGUGCCAUUAGAUGACUGAAACCGCAAGGAGGGUUGGUGAAUUUUAGAGGAGAGAAUAUGUUUGAUACUCUGAAUCUGAUGAAUUAAAUCGUCGUAAGUGUAUUUAUUUCAUCUUAUUCCAUAUACAUAAUACAUCUAACCCAAUUUAUUGCGAUUCUCCAUUUAGAUUUUUCUCAACGGCUACUAAAAUUGAGUUUUUUUUUUUCGGUUUAAUCUUUAUAUUUUUUUAAAAUAAAAAAGUUCGUGUAUUCUAUUUUGGUUCUCAAGUGAAGUGUUGAGGUUUGAUUCUUAGGCAAGUGGGGAUCAGAACAAUGUUGCUUCUGUCUUCGAUUUGGUUUUGCAUAGUCCCUUUCAUAGGCUCUCCUCUUCUACAAACCCUUUAAUUUCUUUUACUCGGACUUUUUCCUUUUUCAAGAUGAAAUUUUUUUAAACUAAAACUUUUACAAUAGAGGCUUUAUUCUUUGAAUCUAGAAUAAUCAGUAAUCACAAACUCAUUAAUUUGAUGAGUUUUGUUGGACUUAAAUAUGUGGUGGAUAGGAAGAUUAACCGGAAGAGAUAUAAUGAACUUUAAGAACUUAAAAACGAUCCUUGAAAGUCAAAAAAACCAAUAACAGAGGAGAGUAGAAUCAAGGUCGGUUUAAUCCGGGCCUAGAAAGAUAGCGAGACGAACCCUCAAGAAACAUAUUUAUUCAUAAUUAUGUUCCCACCCUUUUGUCUUCUUUUUUUUUGUAAAUAAUAAUUAUUUUUAAUUGUGAAUAACUAUAUACGGAGUAUUUGUUUAUAUUUUAACAAUAUAAAUAAGAAAAGAGCAUUAUAUGCCACACUUCGGAGCCCCAUAAUGAGAGUUCCAAACAUUUGACUUUGUCUGGGAACAUUUGAGUUUGUAAUCAAAACAAGCACAUUCGGUGUCUAGGGCUUAUAUGAUGAGUCACGUAAUCAUCACUUAAUUUAUCCGAACUUUUUUUUUUCCUUUUUCCAAAUGUAUCUCUAAGGUUACGUACGAUUCAGUCGUUAAAGCCCUUAAUCUCGUUACCAAUCAAACCAAAAAAAAAAAAAAAAAAACAAGGAGCAAAAUUUCAAAACGUAUGCAUUCCAUUCUCAUUUGUAUGUGUAGGUGCAGUGGAUCUGAUUUUUGUGGACAAAUUAAAUGCCUUCUCGUAUGCUUUUUGUUUUGUCGAAAGAUAGAGACCCGAUAAAGCGAAGACAAAUUUUUCUUUAAUCAUUUAUAAAAUUAUUUAAUUCUUUUUCUCCCUUGAAUUUGGUCAAAUAUCCUUUUCUUUUGUACAUUGUCCCGAAUGUCACCCACACUAUUUCCCCGGAUAAAUCAUCUCAUAUAGUAUGACACAGUACUUCACCGGACAGAAAUUCGUUACAAAUUUUGGUUUGUGGAUCUUUCUUGUUUCAGUUUUCAAAGUUGGAGAUCUAAAUUUUAGGAUCAAAUAGUGUUAAACUGUAAGGUCAUCUUGGAUCAAAAUUAAGAUAAUGUGGAAGUUCGAUGAAAAAAUAAGUAACUUAAAAUACUCUGAUCCCCAAAUAUCACGAGAAUAUUAGAGUAUAUUUCUAAGGAUAUCAUCUAAUUGUUGACAAAAAGGAUACAUCUUGUAAUUAAUUAUUUAAAAAAAUGAUUUUGUAAUUCCUUUUCAUUUACCUCUUUAAUGUCCAAUCUAUAAAUGUAUACUUGGUUUUGAGUGGUUAACAUAACAACGUCAUAAAACGUAGAGAAUCAACAAAAAGAGAUUAAAUUUGAAACUAUUUCUUUUCAACCCACUUGUUGUGAUAUUGGAACGUAGUGUGUAAAUAGAUGCAUGCAUGAUAUUGGUGAAGUCAAUCCAUCUUUCUUUUGAAAUUAACUUGGUUCUUUGAGUUAUAUCACUAGACCAACGAAUUAGACCAACGAUAAUGCUCACCCCCAAACUAUUUUCACAGUAUAAUUCACAAAUUCGUUACACAAUCAUGAGUUAGCUAGUGACUCUUUUAUCUGGCAGCCAUCGUGCAUACAAGUCAAAUAUAUAACUUUUCUUGAUAUUGUUCUUCAAAUUCCAGAAAUCAUUGGCACAAAACUAAAUGAUCUAACACAGUUGUAUACAUGGGACUUUUUUUGGUCGAAUAGGUAUAUCGAAAGGAUAAACAUUACGUUUUGAAACAAUUAGGAAAAUAUGUAAAACCAAAAAAAAUAAAAACUUAUUGAAAGAUCAUUAAUCCAAAAUCACUUUUGACCAUAUUAAAAGAAUCUAAUUGUGUGUGUCGAUGACUUGUGAACAGAUGGCACAUCCACUUACUCUAUCUCUCGGACAUCAAAGGACGAUUCCCAGUUUUACAAUGUGUAAUAACAUAGUGGGGUCCACACUAGACCCAAUAAAAAAAUCUAGUUGUACAAACAAACUUUAUUAAAUAAACAAGUGAUAGAUUAUGUAAAAGUGUCUCUGAUUACAAAUUAUGGUGUUGCAAUUAUCAAGUAAUUUUGCAUCCUAACCGCUAUUAUCAAAUAGUGGUUCCAAUCUAAUAUUAAGGUCGAUUAUUUUUAACAUCUUUCUUCGGCAUCUUUUGACACUUUUUAUAUUCUUAAAAGUUUAUAAAUCACAGCUUGACCAUUUUUUGUUUAGUUUAGUUAUAAAAAAAAAAGAAUUAAUGAUGCUUUCAAUACUUUGGAAAAAUUUACAUAAUUUUUGAAUAAGAAUCGAUUUAAAGAACAUGGAAAAUAGAGUCUUUGAUAACUCAUUUUGUCCAAAGAGUCUGCCACUUCAUUGCAUUGGCGGGGAACCUGUUUAAAAUCAGUACAUGCAAAGCGUUAAGCCCAACGACAUGUUUCCUCCAUCAAAUUAUUAUGGAAAUAGAGAUAAACAUAUACAUACACUGAUACACACUCAUACGUAUAAAAUACGUAUGUGACAUGAAGGCUUCUACUGCAUUUUAAAAUUAUUCUUCUACAAUUCAUAAUGUGACGCUGAUAAAACAAAAUUCUUCUACAAAACAAGAAUAGAAAAAACGAAUUGAAUUGAAAAAUAAAAUUGCUCAUAGAAAGUAAUUAAAAACUAAAUUUACACGAAAUCCUUGAAAAGAAAAACUCGGAGAUCUAUCACAUGACAUGAUCUUACUUGCACGAAACUAAAACUAAAAGCCCUUAAUCUGCUCCUGAAUAACAUACACAUAGAGACACAAUUAGACAUAUUUGUGUAAUGCAUAUUAUGUAUGUACGGACGGUUCGCAACGCAAGUCGCCGACAUCAGGGGUCGAGAGGUUCAACGGCGAGGCUGGGCUCAUUAGAAGGAGAAAAAGCCAAGAAAAUGAGGAGAAUCAUGAGGAGUAGAGGAAGGAGGAGGAGUGUCGCCGGAGGCGGUGGAAGCGGCGGCAGGAACGGUGGCAGAAUCAGAAGAAGCAGAGAGAGAAAGAGAAGAAGUGCGACGGAUCUUGCCGUGAUCAAAGAACUUCCGUUCAAACCCAUCGGCUUGGGUGUGACAUCAAAUCUCAGCCGUUGAUCAUGAACCCUCAUUUUCCAUUACUGUAGUUUAUCAACUCUUUUUGUUUUUGAUAAAUGUCUUAGAUCCUUCUCCCUUUGUCUCUGGCUUUUGUUAUAUAUACUGGCAAUUGGGAAAGUUGAAAUGUCUAUCUCUAUAUUUGUGUAUACGUGUAUGUAUAGCUUGUAUAUUUUUGACAACCCAACAAAAUUUUAAUUUUUCUUAGCUAGAAAAAAAAAAAAAAAAAUUUUUAAGGAAAAUCCAAAAAAUAUAUCUUUGUAACAUUUUUUUCUUUCUCAUCCAGAUUAUUUACCAAAUUAUUUAGUUGAAUUGUAUUUAGUGGUUUAGGUAUUUAUGAUUAUGUUGACAAAAAAUGUAAUAUUUCUUUAUGUUUUGAUUAGUGGUAAUAUUACUUUUUUUUUCUUUUGUCGAUGAUAGACCCUGUCCAAAGUAACAAAAGGGCCAAGUUACAAUAAUAAAUAAAUAAUAGAACCCCACUUGAGAAAACUUAAGACUAAUCAAGUAGGGAGUUAGAUUUUGCAUUAGAAGGAUAUAAAUGCAUAGUCAAGAAAUGUGCAAAAAGGGUAAUUCCAAAGUGCCGGUUUCAGGUCACAGCUGUGAUUUAUGUCUAUAUGUCUUGAUUCAAGUAAUCAACUAAUUUCACUCUCCAGCCUUGUUUUUAGUUUUUUACUCUCUUUCGUGUUUGUUGGCUUCAACCAUAAUUGUUACUAUUACUUCUGUCUAAAACGAAAUACAAACUAAUUUUGCAAUUUAUCAUCAAUGAUAUACCACACUACGUACUAAUAGCAAAAGAAAAUUUAGUUUACGUAAUAUAUUUUAACCUUACUUUUUAGAAUCGACAAUGUAAUCCAUUAUGUUAGUUUCAGUAGCUAAUGAGACUCUGUUGGUGUUGGUGUUGUUGUUAGAUUCCAUUGUAAAAAGUAAACUGUAAUAGGAAUUUAAUCUAGUUUCUUAACAAAAAAAUAAAAAUAAUCUAGGUACAUGAUUAUUAUUAGUAGUACUGAAACUUCUAGAAGAAUAGAGGCUUAAGAAAUGUUUUUUACUGCAAGCAAAGAGAAAAGGUAGAUGCAUGAACAUCCCAAUGCUUUUUAGAUGUUAUAGGUAAGUUGACGGGGACCGGAGGCUGAUGUACUUUCCUGUUGUACAUUGUUUUGUUGGAGUCCCAAUGAGGUCCUUUGUCUACAUUUCUCCUCCUUGAGAAAAUCACAAACUUACAUUAAACAAAAUAAAAUUUUAAAAGACUUCUUUUUUAACUAACAGAAAAGAAUUGGCUAUUAUCUAUCAUUUUCUUCAACCAAAAUAAUUGAAUUAUGUAGUAAAAUAGAAGAAAUUCUCAUAUUAGAUAGCAGGAACAAUUGAUAAACUAAACCAACAGAAAAAAGGAAAAAAAAAAGGGAAUAAAGUCAAUAAACAGUAUAGGUAAAUUAUGUUUAAUUUGAUAAUUUUGAAUAAUAUUUUAACUAGCAAAUUUCACUUCCUGCAAAAACAUUAUUUAUCACACUAAAAACACAAAGUUGAUAGCCUAAUGGUUUAUACGAACUCUUUAAAAACGGCAAACGUAUUUCAGUAACACAAUAUUAAAUACAAGAUGUAAUAUUAAUGAAAAUAAAUAGAGCAUUUGCCGAAUUUAAUGAAAUAGUAAAGCAAGUUGGGUGGUGCCAGCAAAAUAAAAAAUCGAGAAAUUUUCAUUAUUCGUAGAUUUUGAAUAUGGAGGAUGCAUUGCACCUAACAGCAGUGGUUUUAUAUGCUUUCCCGUGGAUUUGGCCUUUCUUUGGUAUUUAUUAUUUGACCAUUUGGUUUAUAUUCAACAUUUUUCUAUUUUAAGUAGUUUCAUUUUUUAUUUGGUCUGCUCCUUCUCAACUUGGUAGGCCUUUACAGCUUCGUUGAUGCAGUCGACCCAGAAAAGUUAUUCCCUUUGCAGUUUUUGGUUAAAGAAUUUAUGGUAAGACAAACUAGAAAGAAAGACUUAAACAUUUCGAAGAUCUUUUGGUUUUCUUUGUAUAUUAUAAAUUACAUAGCUAGGUAAUAUAAUCGAUCAUGUUAAAAUUUAAGACACUAAAAACUAAAUUUGAAAAUAAGAUUAGGUAUUUUAUUAGGAUAUUAUUUUUAAUUUACAAAUAUGCUUGUUUUUUUUUUUUUUGGUGCAAACAAAUAUGCCUUAGUAUUUAUUUGAAACAAAAUGGGCCAAAAUUAUUCUUCCAAUUAAGGCCCAAAAGCGAUCAUUCACCUAAUUUUAGAUCAGGCAGGCUUGAUAAUUGGGAAGAUUAUUAUGUGUUUUUAAACACUGAUUCACCAUCCAUAAGUUAUGUGCUUCUGUUUUGAUUUCAGGGUUUUUAAAUAUGUAAUUUUGCCGAAUCAAACGGAAAAAAAUUGAAUACGAAAGGUUAAAAAAAUGACUUCAGAUGAUUUUUUUGUUAAAGACUUUCAGAUAAUUAGUGUCCACAUAUGACAUCGGUGUGUAACCACAGAUGUGAGAUGACAAAUCCUCAUAAAAUAUACACAGAUAUAUAAACCUUUACACUGUUGCACACAACCCAUGUUCGCGUUGUUCUCCUUCCAAAUCGGUACCAAAACGUUUGCCCGUGAAACUUUCAUUUCGCCAAAAUAAUAUAAUAUAUUAAAAUUAAUAUACAAAAAAAAAACCUAUUUCUAAAAAGAACCUCGAAUUUUAACGAGAGACAAAACAGAAAAAAUAUAUAUAGCAUCGUUAAUUAUUAAAUCAUGUAAACGAGUGUCCACAUUUCUCGUACAAGUACAACAAUCUAUCACCUAAUUCUUCGGAAUUCACCUGGCCAUUUUUUAUCUGAAGAUGCAUAGAGUAAAAGAGUCGCUCUCCAUGAGACCUUGAAGAUGAAGCACCCACAAGAACCAACCCAUCUUCUUCUACACCACUCAAGACAUUCCCAAACGAACAUUUUUCAGUCUGUAACGAUGAAAUUUGGACCAUCACUUCAGUCUCACUGAGCCUAGUCGAAGAAACUGUCGACGCAUAGCUUGUAACCCCUUCCUCUGACUUACUGUUUUGGUCGGUGUAAACGAGAUCUCUUUGACCCGAAAUUUGAAACGAGAGCUCUUCUUUCUUCUUCAUGAGCUUUUUAACUUGCUCUUGCAGCUCUGGUAUGUACUUCAAUGCUUGUGAAACUGUUGCCGAAACACUUAACUUCUUCUGCAAGAAAAUACAUAAAAAAUAGGACAGAUCUUUCAGUUUAUGUUACUUGGGACCGAUUUUUUUUUCCUUCUUUGCGUUAGAAAAAACAAAACAUAUCACUGUUUGUAUCAACACCAAAAUUGCAAAAGCAAUGAAUAACAACUUUUAGCAUUUGCAAGAAAACAUUUGAUAUUUUUUUGUUUCUGUUGAAUAUUAAACUAAACUUUCAAAUUUUUUCAUAAUUUUAGAAAUAGAAAAGUAUAUAGAAUUAACAGUUACCGUUUGAUUGGUGGGAGGAAGACAAGAACGAAGAGAUGAGAACAUUGUGUUGAUCUUCUUGCGACGCUCACGUUCACUCGCGUUGUGAUUAAGCUUCUUCAUCACCACGGGAUUGUCUAGUAAUGUUCUGUUAUUCUCAGACGACACAUUCUCAUGAGUCACCGUCAAGUCCGGCAACGGAAAAUCAAGAAACGUGUUGGAUACGUCGUCGGUUUCAUAGAAGCUAUGAUCUCCGCAAGGCCAGCCGAAAUUGGGAUAUAAUGGAGGGACAAGUGCACACAUUUUGAGUUUUAGAUAGUUACUCUGUUCUUUUUUGUCUCUCUCUAGAAGCUGUUUCGGUUGGGAUUAUGCUGAUGUGUUAGUUGGAUUAUUUAUGUGGACACUCAUUUUUGUUUAUAUAUACACUGAUACACACACACGGACACAAGAAAAAUACUAAUGACUCUGUGUUGUAUAUGUAAUAAAUUAAAAUACAUUGGGUCACGAGUGGACAUGCGUUGACACGUGGUUGAGCACUUUUCCCCCAAGUAGGAGCAUGUUCCAAGGAUCACCUGUUGACCUCCGGAUACAGGCAUUAAUAUCCUAAUGUUCUUAUCGUAAUUUAUAACAUAAGUUUACACUAUUGUAUCGUAUAAUUACAUGAAUAUGAAUGUAUGAGUAUUAAUCAAAAAUUCUAAAUAUUUUAUAAUGUGUCAAAAUAGAAAUUCGAUUUAUUAAGCAAAUUAUUUAGUUAGCAAAAAAUAACAGUUAAAUAGGAACAACUACUAUAAGAAGAUACAGAAUAUGCAAUCACAUUUUUCUACCACAAAUACGUUAAGUAAACUAAGACCAAAAAUAUGAAUUAUGACGCAGCUGGAAGAAAAGAGACAGACACUGAGAAGAAGUACACGAGGAUACACGGGUUUGGUGGACGUGGACUAUUGAGAGGCACGAGCAAAUCACGUGGAAUAUGUUAAGGCUUUUCUCCUGAAUCCAACCAUUUCUAUGUAGUAUAUACGUAGGCAUUAAGUGUUUACAAAUAUUUAACAAAUGUAUAUUCCUUAUUUAAAUUUAUUAAUUACAUCUUAUAUGGUGUAGUGUCUAUCGUUUAUUUUGUAUUAUAUUAUAGCCUUUCUGAUCAUAUUACACAAGUCAACUCCGGUCAUCUCGGUCAGGCCAAAAGCCUUGAUUCUAUUCUAUUAUCCAUGGACGAGGAUAAAAGAGAGACGGAGAUAUUUUGGAUUUUUCCUCAUUCUAUUUACGCCUCUUUAAAUCCAAAGAUCUAAAUGGGCUUCUCUAAAAACAAUUGGCCCUAAGAUAAUUGCUUUUUCUUUUUCUUUUUUUUGCAAUGAGUUUACAUGUUUGUAGCCCAUUAUAUGUAGAUAAUCUCUAAAAUGUGAAGUAUUUGACUAUUUGUCAACAAUUAUGAACAUAAUGUUAAAAUACAACCCACAAUAAUCACAGAUACAGUUUGAUUAGAUUUAUCCAUUGAUAUGUUGGCAACUUUUGGUAUUGUCCAUACGUUGCCUAGGUUCAACUCUAAAUUUCCAUUUUUCUUGAUCUCUUCUUGAUCACAUAUUUAAAGAACUCAAUUCUCCUUCUUUUAUAAGCAAAUGUCGAAAACAGUACAACACUUCGGUUCGGAUUAAGAACGAUCAUGAAGCUUAUUAUUGAUCUUUUAUUAUACAUUGUUUUCUGGUUUUCUACAUUAGCCGCAACAUAUAUUACACACAUUAUGCUACAAAAGAGAAAUGGAAUAUACAAAACUGCUCACACAAAAAAAGAAGAAGCUAAAACUGAAGUCUGAACAUGUCUCUGAACCAUUUCUCUCAUAUGCUUUUGCUUCAGACCUUCACUCCUAUCCGUUGAGCAACCUGCAGAACAAAACAAAAGCACAUUCAUUUCAAGUAAACCAAUGAUUUUUAAAUUCUUGAGAGAUUUGAGCAAAACCAGAGAGAUUCGUUUACCUGUUUAAAUGACGUAACUUCACUUCCCCAGAGCCAAGCGUCACAGCCUGCGUCUCUAGCUCCCCAUACAUCAUUCCUACGGUCAUCUCCUACAUGAACCGCAUCCUCGGGAUUCACUUCUAAUAACUCACAAGCUUUUAAGAAGAUAGUCGGGUUUGGUUUUUCCGCUUCAACCUGUUAAACAUUCAACCAAAAACCUUAAGUAUUUACACACUCACUCCCAAAACGUUUCGGAUCAUCAACAAAAAUAUAUAAACGAAAAGAGGUUAUCUUACUUCUGCUGAAACAGCUACAGCAUCAAACCAAUCUUCACAUCUCAAUGCACGUAGGAGAGGUCUUAACCGAGUAUCGAAGUUGGAGACUAUUGCAACUUUUACACCCGCUUCUUUAAUAGCCUUAAACACUUUCCCUGCAUCUGGAUCACAUAACUUCCACGCCUGGGAAAGCAAAUGGAGAAAUCUCAAGAGAAAGAACCAAAACUAUUACUGAAGCAUAUGGAGAAGUAGUAGUAGAGAUCAAACCUGUUCUGUAGUAAAAUAGCUGUAAAGCUCUUCAAAGUACUGUGAAUCCGAGCAGCCUGUUGAUGCAGUCACUAUAUACUGCCAGAAAGGUCUUGCAUCGUUUACAUAUCUACAAACAAAGAAUCAAAAAUCAAGACCAGCACAGAAGUAAAUGUCUUAAGCAGACCCAUUUAUGAAUCCAACAGAGAUUCCACAGCAAAUGUAUAUUCGAAAGAGUCAGUAUUAAACCAGAUAUCUUUGUACGGAGAUGCAUCACUAGAGUCAUAAUCAUGAUCAAGUAUUAAAAGUUGUCAUACAAACAAAUAGAAAGCCACAAAAGAACAUUUUGCCUAGUGGUGAUUUUCUUGGAGUAGAAGAAACAAAAAGAGAAAGAAGAUGAUUCUAAAUACCUAAGAUGAGAUCCACCCCAUGGUUUCUGAUAAGCUCUUCUGUAUCUAGUAAGUAUCUCAGCCUCCGAGUACUCCACUCCGUACUUCUCUCCAAUAUUCUUAUAUAUCUACAAAAUCAGAAUCCAUAACACAUCUUAGAAUCUACACAAUAAAAAUCUCUAUCUACUCUUCUAAGAACAAACAGAGAUCAUAAAAAGCCUAAGACAUUCUUAACAUAACAAUAAGCAUCAAAUUUUUACUCAGAAUCAAACAUGAAUCCUCAAAAUGCUCAUAGCUUUCUAAAAAAUUUCAAUCACAGAGCAAGAAACAUGUGAAGCAUUUGUUCAACUGUUGAAUCACACAAAGUAACAGAGAAAUUUGAGAGACCUGAGCAGUAGGUUGAGCGGGAACAAGGAGAGUACCAACAGCAUCAACAAGCAAAGCCUUAUGAGUGAUCUCACCAUAGAGAGAUCUCCUAUAAUCUUCAUACUCUUUCAACACACUUCCCAAUCCGUAAAUCCCACUAGAUUCAUCAUCCGCUACAACAGCGGAAGAUGACGAAGCAGAGGAGAUCCAACGGCUGAGCAAUGCUCCGGUUCUCGCGAUCCGAUCCGUUCCAUGAGUAAUCCCACCGGAGAAGAGAAGUGUCGUCGUCGCCUUCCUGAUUCUCAACGCCAUUAGCUGCUUCUGUAUGAUUGAUUUGAUUGUUCCGUUAUCUUCGGCUUCGUCUUCGUCUGGGGAUUAUAAAAGGAGAAGAAGCGUGUGCGGAGAAUCUUUAACGCAUAAAGAGAGAUGUGUUGUUACGGUUAUACCCUUUCAUAUUAUUAUCCGUCUACAGUUUUUCUACCCUAUCCGCUAAUCAGAAGAACUGAUGAUGUGGCAUUUUUAAAAACUUGUUAUUACACUCUUAAUCUUUAAUCAUGAGUUUUUUUUUUUUGUUAAAGAAACCAUAUGAGUCUUAUAAUCCUGAGAUAUGAAGAAAGGGUUGUGUUUUGAAUUUUGGUUUUUAAAGUUGAGAUCCAGAUUAAAGUUAUGUACUUGACACACAAAAAUAGCUUUAUCUUUCUUUAUAAAAAAACAAAAAGUAAAAAAAGAUUUAUCAUUAUUUCUUUUUCAAUCAGAAUUAUUUAUCUUGUUCUAUAUAUUGAUUAUUGAUAUAUGGAUCCGUGUUUUACAUGCAGAUAUUCUUCAAGAAUUCACAAACGUCUACUUGUCUGAUUGAUGAUAUAUUACGUUGUUGAAACAUCAAAUUAGCCAAUAAAAAGGAAUAAAUGCAUACAAUUAGUUUUCUUGUAGUAUUUAUUUUCACAUCGAGAAGGAUACUAUUAUUUCGUGGAAAAACGGUUAAGCUUAAGCUUCAUUAAAUUUUAGCUUUCACAUCGACAAGGAUAAAAAGUUUUAUCCACAAAUAUUUUUGGAUAAAAGUCAUGAAAAGAAAAGAAGUGGGAAAAUUGGGCCCUAACCAAUUAUGUGUCAUGCAAAGUAAUAUAAGGAUACAAUUGAAGAACUGGUCUAUUUUAGAGGGACCUCUUUAGAAAUUCGUGGCUUAUAAAUUGACAAACGGGCCCACGUGUUGACAAAUAUGGGCCACAAAAUUUAAGGAGUAUAUAGUUUUGGGCCAUUUUAUGCAUAAUUUGAUUGACUAUUAACAAAAUGCCGAAUUCACCAACAUGGCUAAGGAAAAUGUUUUGUUCCACAAAAUUUUAUGGCUUUGGUUUAUUUCAUGAGCUUUUUGGUCGAUUUCAUCAUUUCGUAUGGAAAAACGAACAAAAUAAGAUUUGGUUUAGUGUUUCUUUGGAUAGACAAUGAGUCCUUUAUACGUAUGUGUCUAUGUGGUAUAAUAAGACAUCACGAUGUUAAAGAAGAUUAGAAAAAGUCUUAUGGAUAAGGAAACAUAAAUCCAUAAUUGGACCCAUUUUGGAGAAUUUUGAGUUAACGUUCAAAAACGACGUUUCUUCUCAAGUUUUUCUUUAUCCAACCUUUUCCAGUAAAACUAACAGUUAAGUAUUAAAUAGAUUUCGAAGCAUAUGAUUUAUUCAUAAUGUUUACUUACUUAGAAAGUUCAUUUGGUAAAAUAAGAAUAAGAAGAACAUCCAAGGGUUCAAAAAGGAUCACUCGGGAAAUAGAUGAAACGUCUUAAACGCCAGUAAUGAAGAUCUCUCUGAACUCGAGUGUCUAACGUAGUAACGUUCGAUACCCAUUUUUAAAAAGUAAUAACGUUUUCUAAUCAUUAUGCUAGCCUCUUCUCUUGCUUAGAUAAUGGUUUGGUUAGGUUAUUUUAUCAGAAAUGUUGAAUUUGGUCUAAGUAGUGCUAUUUCAGUUCUAUCUCCUAUACCGGUCGGUUCAUGGUUUCUGUUUCUAAUCCCUUUUUGCUUUCUUUUCUUUCAUUUAGAUCAAUUUUAGUGAUAUUACCAAAAGAAGGAGGAGGGUUUGAAUUGGUAUUGUGCGAUUGUUUUUGGAAUGUAUAGAAGUUAACAUUAUCAUUUCGAACGAUGGGUUUGAAGUCCAUUGGAGACGUGUAAGAACCGUAGGUUAGUAGAGAGCAUGGCAUUUACACGUGGAACCACAGAGAAUAGUUUAGCUGUUGAAGCAUACGAUGCUUGAUAUGGCUUUCAACGUUCAACUCUUAUUUUAUGGGUUUGGACGCAAAAAAAAAAGUAAAAAAUAUUGAAAAUAACUCGAGCCUUUACCAGCUGAUUAAACUACCCAUAUGAUUCAAUUUUGAUGUUGUCAACUUAUCGCUAACCCUGUCAUUACUUUAAUACAUUAAAAUUAAACAGGUAUUUCAAAUUUGAUAUAUGAAAUAUUUCACUCGAUUGAAAAUUUCAGUUUGAAAAAGGAUAUAAUUUUGUUUUUUUUCUUAUUUUUAUUUUUUGGCUUAUUUCUACUGGUUUGUAAUAUACUUCCUCUAUUCUUUAAUAAUUGAUUUUCUAAAAAAACACACAUAUCAAAAAAUAUAUUAAAGCUCAUUAUAAAUAUAUUACUUUUUGUGAUUUAUAUUUUUUAUAAUUUUAAACUAAUAAUAUUAGUUAUUUAUUUUAAAAUUUGAUAUUCAUCAAUUAUAACUAAUUAAUAUUGUAUAAAAAUCUAAAAUAUUAAUAUUUUUGAAACAAUUUUUUUCAAAGAAAAUCAAUUAAUAAGAAACAGAAAUAUUAUUUUGAUCCCAGAAGUUACAGAGGAUAGUGAUUAAAUUUUUAGUUGGUGCAGUAUUUUAGAUUAUUAAAAUAUAAUAUUAUUAGCGUGGAACAUAUAUAUCCAUGAGUACUGCUAGUUGACAAAACUGUAUCCGUUGAAAUUGUGAUAUUAAUUUCAUUUGUUCACUAGUGACUAGUGAGUAACCAAAGAGAUAUGUAUGAUGGUAUUGUAUUUGCAUCUAGGUCUUUUGACAAGGCACAAUCUAACUUUCCUCUGAUGAUAUUUACUUUUUUUAGCAAAAAGUAAUAAUAUUUGGUUUAGCUAGUUUUUUAUUUUAGUUAUUAUAUACUUUUUUGACGACAAUUGUGAGUAUAUAAUAACAGUCAAGUAUUAGUAUAAAAAUACUGACUCCUCUUGUAAGCAAUUUAACAAAGUAAACGUUUUUUUAACGUUUCCGUUCAUCAUAAUACUAAAUAGCUCAGAUCUGAUUGUGUUACUUGCAAAUAUAAUACGUUUUUGCUUUCAGAGCUACAGUAUGUUGUCCACAACUUCGCAAACAUACUUUUAAAUAAGAGUCUAGAAACGCUUGCAAUUUGUUAAAGAGCGACCUAAUUAAUAAAUAAACGUGAGUUUCUAGUAAUUACUGAUGUAAUUAAAAUGAUGCGUAAUUAUAAAAAUAUACACCUGUUUUUCUCUAGCAUUCUCGAACGGUAUUUAAUUUUGCCGAUUUGCAUCGUUCAAUUAACUAUAUACAACAAAGUUGUUUCCUAAUUAGACUCCAUAUAUAAUUGGAUUAUCAAACAAAUUCCUCAAUUCCAAAAUGCUUUCAAAAUUUGUAUUCGAAAAAUAAAUUUACAAAAUGGUAUCGAUGUUAAAAUUAUGAAUUUUGAAUAGAAGCUACACCAUUAAACAAUUUUCAUCAAUGGUUUCUCAUUGAAAAACUGUUCAAUAUAAAAAUAAAAUAUAAUCAAAAAAUAUGAAAAAGAAUAUAAUUAGUUUCUCAAGUGAGAAACUUUAAAAAACGCAUAAAAAUACUUGUAUAUCAUCUAUUGAUCAAAUAUUAUUUUAUUAUUAAACUUUAAUUAUAUAACUAAUAUUUAUUAAAAUACUAAUAUUUUUUUUUUUUGAGAAACCAUGAAGGUAUUUUACUGAUAGAGAUGUUUUUAGCUAAAGCUUUAACUUCUUUUUUUGAAAAAACAAAAGCUCGAAUUAGGCGAAAAAAAACUAGAAAAGAUAAAAAAGAUUUCAAAGAAUUAAAGAUUCUAUAUAAUCUUUCUCAAUCAAUUUAUGAGACUUCUCGAUCAUAUCUAUUAGCAUGGAUUAUAGUGAUCUUUUGAUAUGAUUUUCUUUACAUUUUAUAUAUGUGUAUAUAUAUAUAUAUCCCCUUAAAUAAAUAUGUCAUUAACUCAUUAUCUUCCCUCACUCGACAUAGUUGACUGGUUUCUUGUCGCCAAGUUUUGCUGCCCAACUAUAAAUAUGUGCUGUGCUCAUGCACUCUUCAAUAUAAGUGUUUUGUGUAACUAAAACAAAAUAUGGGAAACCUCAAGUCUCUCGUUCUCUUGGCUUUGCUCUUUUCUUUCUCCGUCGCUGUUUUCGCGAACACAUCCAACGAUGCCACACACGGUAUGUACAACUCUAUAUUUGUAGUUCUCUUUUACACUUUCGCGUAACUAUGGAUUAAAUAUUUGAUCGAUGGUGUAAAACAUGUAUAUUAUUACACGUGCAUCUAAAGAUGAAGUGAAGCCAAGUACUGAAGCAACCCAUGCCAUAGAGGCGCAAAAACAUGACGGUAAACCCCAGAUCGCGGAAGCCCAAGUUGAGGCCAAUGACCCUGUUGUAGAGCCCCAGCAAGACUGGGGUGGCCGUGGUGGUUGUAGGUGGGGAUGUUGCGGUGGGUGGUGGCGUGGACGGUGCAGAUACUGUUGCAGGAGUCAAGCCGAGGCCAGCGAGGUUGUGGAAACUGUUGAGCCCAACGAUGUUGAGCCUCAGCAGGGUGGCCGUGGUGGUGGCGGUGGUGGUGGCGGAGGCCGUGGUGGUUGUAGGUGGGGAUGUUGCGGUGGGUGGUGGCGUGGACGGUGCAGAUACUGUUGCAGGAGUCAAGCCGAGGCCAGCGAGGUUGUGGAAACUGUUGAGCCCAACGAUGUUGAGCCUCAGCAGGGUGGCCGUGGUGGUGGCGGUGGUGGUGGCGGAGGCCGUGGUGGUUGUAGGUGGGGAUGUUGCGGUGGGUGGUGGCGUGGACGGUGCAGAUACUGUUGCAGGAGUCAAGCCGAGGCCAGCGAGGUUGUGGAAACUGUUGAGCCCAACGAUGUUGAGCCUCAGCAGGGUGGCCGUGGUGGUGGCGGUGGUGGUGGCGGUGGCCGUGGUGGUUGUAGGUGGGGAUGUUGCGGUGGGUGGUGGCGUGGACGGUGCAGAUACUGUUGCAGGAGUCAAGCCGAGGCAAACGAGGUUGUGGAAACUGUUGAGGCCCAACAAGCUAAGCCAUGAAUUGCGUGUAAUACAAACUCUCUAUGUUUGUAUGCAUGCAUAGCUAAUUACCAUUACGUACGUAUGUCAAAAUAAAGCAAAAAUAGUACCUAAGAAGGUACCUAGAGGUCAAUAAAAGAAAACGUAGGUUCAUAUAAUAUGUAUUUUGUUAUGUAGUGUUUCUUUUCUCGUGGAUGUUAUAAAUAAUAACAACUGUUUUUUAAUUUAUUUUUUGACAAAUUUCGAGUCAUAACCAAUUCAUAUUAUACGGGUAACACAAUUGAGUUAAGUCAAAUUCCGAUAGGAAAAACGGAAUAAAAUGGACUUAAUCAUUUGAGUAAAGAAAGAUCCCCAAAUAAUAACAACUGUUUUAAUACCAUGGAUUAUAAUAUUUUGUUCACAGUUUAAAUUAUGAAGAGGCAUGCAUGUAGCUAAGCUAGCUAGCUCAAUAAAAGCCAUAGGUUAAUAUAAAAUGGAACCAAACAGAAUUAUUAUCCUAAAAGUUAAGAAUAAAGAAUAACUGAUUCUACUAUAAAAUCGUAAACAUUAAAGGUGCUGCUGUAAAAUCAUGUAUUCGAGGGGAAUAUCUCGUCUAAUUAUGUAUGAAUCAAGUAUAUUUGUAUUAAUCAAUUUUAGUUUCUACAUUAGUUACUUGUAUGGGUGUUUUUAAAUGGAUAGUUUUAAAUAUAUAAAAAAACAUUUUCUGUAUUCCUAAAAAGUUUGAUGUUCUAGAGUUUUCACAUAUAUUCAAAAAUAAUCAUUGUUUAAUUAUUGGUUAAUCAUUUUUAAAAAUUAAAUAUUUUUUAACAAUUUUGAACUAAUUGUAGUAUAAAAUAGUUAAUCAUUAUGUCUUAAAAUCUAAGAUUUAUUAAUAUUAAUUAAUAAAAAUAAAGUAAAAACCUAAAAAAUCAAUCUUUAUGUAACAAACUACAAACACGUAAACAUCAAUAUUUUAUGAAAAAAGAGAGUAAAAAUAUGAGUGUAUUUAAAUGAGAACUGUGUCUUCUUAGAGACAUUUAAAACUCCUAUUUUUGGGAUAUUUUUAACUUUACUAUUAUUUUUCGUGAAAGAUAUUUGUGAAAAAUUGUUGAAUGAGGAUGGUCAAAUAGAUAUACCCAGUUAUCCACUUACAUUAUUUUCAUGUUUCUUUUUAUUUGUAUUUUCAUUUUUUUUGUGGUUUCAUUUCUUACCUUCCAAAACUUCCGAAAUUAUUCGAAAUUACGCCACUACUCUCGGUCAACCUCACGACGAUGUCGUUCCUUUUGUACUUGGCCCAAACCGAAUGGAUCCAGUCCACUGGCAGUUCCAAGCCACAUGUUCAAUAUGCCUACCCGGCUACUCCGAAUUCUGGAUCUAUUUCUGUUGUCGGAUAACCCCAAAAGCCUUUCCACAAAAAUUUAGUAGUUUUCCUAAAAUUUAGACGUUAACCCAGUAAUAUAGGAUUCCACACGUGGUGGCAUCGAUCGACAACUAUAAAGUAAUCACCGUUUUUACUCCAAACGAUGCCUGCGAAUGCUAUGUUGCUUAGAACUUGGAAGAGUGGUCAAUUGUUUCGUAGUUGGGUCAUACUUCAUUAGUCUACCGAUUCUGUCUCCACUCAUCGUACUAUCCCUCAAUUAAUCAAUUAAAUUAACAAUUACGAGCUAAUCCAUCAUAUAAACAUGCUCCUUUUAUUAAUAUAAAGUAUAAACAUGUUCUUUGUUUAAGAUAAUAUAAGAUAAUUUUAACUCUAUAAAGUAGAUAACUUCGGUCCGUGGAUCGAUAUCCUAUCCAUUGGUCAAUCGAAGGGCUUCAUUCAGCUCACAUGACAAAACCUGAUUGGUUACACCACAUGUUGUGCCAACUUUAAGAAGGCCCGUAUAAGCAUCGGCUAUAUAGAGGUCACAAGUGGAUUUGUCAAAGGCAAGGCCGAACGGACGAACGGUCGUUUUUGGAAUGGAUAGAAGCUAACAUUAUCAUUUCGAACGGUGGGUUUGAACUUUUAAGUCCAAGAAUAGGACUUUGUGACCACUGGUGGACACGUGUAAACACGAUAGGUUAUGAUCAGAUCUAUUAUAUAUGGUCUCUAAAGAUCAUAUAAUUUUUUUUUAACAUUUUCGUUAUAGAAAUAUCCCUAUAAAUAUAUAUGCCAUUAUCUUCGAUCACGCGACAAAGUUGACUGGUAUCUUGUCCCCAAGUUUUGCUGCCCAACUAUAAAUACAUGUGCUGUGCUCAUCAUACACUUCACUAACAAAAUCAUCUUCCCUCAAUAAACCAAAUAAGCUAAGUGUUUUGUGUAACGAAAACAAAAAAUGGGAAACCUCAUGUCUCUCGUUCUCGUGGCUUUGCUCUUUUCUCUCUCCCUUGCUGUUAUUGCGGACACAUCCAACGAUGCCACACAUGGUGUGUGCAACUCUAUAUAAUAUAAUUUCCCUUCACACUUUCGCAUGAUUAAAUUUUUAUUUUUUUUGGUAACAGAUGAUUAAAUAUUUGAUCCAUGGUGUAUAACAUGUAUAUCACACGUGCAGUUAAAGAAGAAGUGAAGCCGAGUACUGAAGCAACUGAUGCUAUAGAAGCCGAAGUCGAGGUCAAUGACGCUGUUGUAGAGCCCCAGCAAGGCUUGCCUGGUGGUGGUUGUAGGUUCGGAUGUUGCGGUGGGUACUGGUGGAAUGGACUGUGCAUAUACUGUUGCCGCAGUCAAGCCGAGGCCAACGAAGUUGUAAAAACUGUUGAGCCUCAGAAGGAAGAAGCUAAGCCAUGAUUUCGCAUGUAACACAAACUCUAUAUGUUUGUAUGCAUGCAGUGGUCAAUUACCGUAUGUAUGUAUAAAUAAAAGAAGCAUGGUGCCUAAGUAAGAUACCUAGAGAGAGCUCAAUAGAAAGAAACCAAAGGUUCAUUAAUGGUUUUUGGUUAUGAGGUGUUUUUCUCGUGGAUGUUAUAAAUAAUAACUGUUUUAAUAUUAAUAUUUUGUUCACAGUUUAAAUUAUCAAAAGGCAUGCAUGUAGCUACCUAGCACAAUAUAAAGUGGUACUAAACGGACUUAUUAGUUGUUAUCCUAAAAAAUAAGAAUAGGGGGAGGGGGGAUGUAUCGUCUAAUUAUCUAUAUAUGAAUCAUAUUGUUGGAAAAACAUAUUUGUAUUACUCAAUUUUAGAUUUUAUACAUGCCAGCGAAAGGAGUAUUCACCGAUCCAACCCAAAGAGUUCCAUCUUUUUCUUCAACCUCACUUAUAGAUAUCCACUUAUUUUCAUUUUUACCUUCGAAUACCUCUAAUAUAACGCCACUAUCCUCGCUCAACCUCACGGCCAUGCCGUUCCCAUUGUACCUGGCCCAAACCGAAUGGACCUUCAUCCAAUCCACCGGCAGGCCCAAAGCGGCACGUCCAAGCCACGCGUUCGACAUGGCGAACUUUGUCAGCUUUGAGUGUUUUGUGUUCAAGCCUACCCAGAAUCCGCCACGUGGACUUCUCUUUAUGUUGUCUGGAAACCCAGGGAGCCCCUCCGCGAAAAUCUCGUAGUUAUCGUGAGAUUGAGACUUUACCGACGUUUCGUUGAGCCAGUAACGUAAGAUACGACACAUGGCGGUCUCGACGACGAGAAGGUAAUCACCGUUUUGGCUUAAAGCGACACCGUUUACAAACGCUAAGUUGCUUAGAAGAGUGGUCACUUGUUUCGUGUUGUCGUACUUCAUCAGUCUACCAGUUUUGUCCCCACUCAUCAUCGCCCCUAUAUAGUUCCUGGAAAAAAAAAACAAUUUACGUACUAAUAAUGCAUCAUAUAAACAAAACAAAAAAAAAAAACAUAUAAACAAUGAUCUUUUUCACUCAUAUAAAAACAUGUUUUUCAUUAAAUUUCCAAGAAUUUUGUACCUCCGUUGAUAAACCGAACUACUGUCGGUAAAGUAGACAACUCCGGUCCGUGGAUUGAUAUCCAAAGAAUUGGUAAAUCGAAGGGCCUCAUUUAGCUCACGUGGUAACACCUGAGUGGCGACACCACCUGUUGGGCCAACUUUAAGAAGGCCCAUAUAAGCAUCGGCUAUAUAAAGGUCACCAGUGGAUUUGUCAAAGGCAAGGCCCAAUGGUCGUCCACACACGUGUUCUGUUCGUUGGUGCUCGUGCGGGCCCUCACAACCUUCUCUACAUUGAACAAACAAAACAUAAAUUGCCAUCAUUAAUUGUUCUUCAGAACUAUUUUGGCUAUUAAUAAGGCCCCGAGUUUAAUGAGAAGUUUUAUUUGCCACUCUCUCAGUUUCCCAAAAAAAAAAAGUUGUUGUAGAGUUUUUGUUUCCCCUCUCAGAAAACGGUUAUUUCAUCUUUUUAGUGUGGCUUUUCAAACCAAAUGAAUAAUUUAUCUCUUAGACUCUUACCCAAAACUAAUAAACUUGAAACUUAAGUCACCACCAUGUAAAACUUAGUGGUAUAUAUAUAUGUACAUAUAUAUAUAGAUAUAGUUCUAUAUUUUAAAAUAUAUAUAUAUUUGAAUCUAUUUGAAUGUGUCAUAGUAGUAUUUGCUAGCAAACCCGGACCACCAAAAGUCAAUCACGAUUCACACAUUCUAUUUUGUUACUCCCCAGUCAUUCUUUAGCUGUCAGCAUUUACUUUACAUUUCUCUGAAAAAAUUACAACGUUUCACAAUACAAGAAAAAAAAAAACUAAAGAAGCAAUUAAGUUUCAUAGUCAAAAUAUGCAAAUAUAUGCACAUGCAGUUGAGUUUUAGAAUGCCCCAAAAUGGGAACUUCACAUGCAUGCUAAAAUAAAAAAAUUGUGAUUCAGAAAGUUAAAUUUGCAGUUUAGAAACAACCAAGUUGACCACGUGAUAAGUUGAAGUACAGAUGCAGAAACAAAAGAAGUACCUUUCACCGUUACUUCGUUAGUCAGAGACUCAGGAAUAAUAACUAAAUCUUGUACUAUUUAACAUUUUUAAUUAAAUUAAGCGAUUAAUACAACAACCCAAAUGUAAUUCUUCACUGUUAGAAAUGCAAAGGAGGUAAUGUUAUCAUUAUUAUUUUUUGUUACGCAAAGGAGGUAAUUUUGUUAUUCGGAUAAGUAAGUCAAUAAUUUCGAUGGGACAUAGGAAGUUGGUGGAUACAAUUGAAGGAGUUAAAACCACAAAACUAAACGACGAAACAAAAAAACAAUCAAAGUUUUUUCUUAAAAAUGAUGGAGAAAUUUGUGAGUACCUUGCGGAGGUGGUGACGGCGAAAUCGAUCCAACGGCUCUCAUUAGCUAGCCACUUAACAAUUCGACCGUCAGAUAAACCGGUGUAAGGACCAUCGCCGAAAAAAUCAAAGACAAAACUCUCCGGUCCCAAAGCUCCGGUGGUAGGAAUCAGACGGAAAUCAGGGAUUUGGACUGUCAACAUGGAUUCUCCUCCAUGUUUUGGUCCCUCACCGGAUAAAUCAGUGACGCUAAAGAUAAGGGCAACAGAAGUUGCCACCACCAAGAGGAGUUUCAUCAUUUUGUUCAGAUUUUUUUUUCCCCUAUAGUAAUUGCUUCCUCUUUUUUUUUGUUUUGUCUUUGUGGUGGUAACAGAGUAAGAGUUAUGGUGGUUAUAUAUAGGCGUCUGAAAUAAUUAAUAGUUUUAUCUUAUACAUGUCGAAUUCGUGUCAAAAUAUUCUUUAGGAAAUUAAAAAUUUUCUCAUUCUUGGGAUUUGUGGAUUGUAAUUCAUUGUUAUUUUUUCUUGUCUUACCUUAUUUCUAUUUUUCUGUUCAAAGAUUUCCUUCCUAAUAAAGCAUUUCAUUUUAGUAUAUAUACAUGUAGAUGGUAUGAUUUGCUUGCAAAUGCCGGAUAUUGAGGGCCACAUUUACUUCAUUGUCCAAUUUUAAGACUAUCUUUUAUAUACUCUGAUUUUUUUCCAUUCAAGUUUACAAGCUUUUUUUUGGUGAAAUCAUGUUUACAAGUUUGGGUAAAGUGUAAAUGUUAUCCAACAAAAAAAAUAAUAUCUAUCUAUAUGGAAAAUAAAUAUUCAUUUGCACAGAAUAUCAAAGGAUGAGAAUUAAGAGACGUAGUUUCGAAAAUUUCAAACCAAAAGUACAAUAAAAGCCUCCAAUAUUAUUAAUAAUAAUUGUUUUUGUUUGACUUAUAACAAAAACAUUUUAGCUUGUAUAAAUGAAACAUAAAUUUUCACCACCAAAAAUAAAGAUAAAAAUAAGGGACAAAGGAAGUGAAUAGACAGGAGAAGGGGCAGUGAGCAGAAGAAUCAACGGCAUGAGCCCCACUCGGCAACCUAUUCGUUGUGUUGCCUUCUGAGUUCUGACCAUAUCUUUUUUUUUUUUGCUUGUAUUUUAUUUGUUAUCAAAUCCUUCCAAACAAACAAUUCCAAACACAUCAGAACCAAUUAAAGAAAGGUAUCUACAAAGUACUGUCACCAGUGAGGCAGUGACUUCCUCAAUUUACAAAUAUCCCACUCUAAUACUGCCUGUUAUGGUAAGUGGACUGCGCAAGCCGGUUCGUAGACUCACAAGUUUCAAAUUUCUUGUAAAGUUUUUAAUUAAAAGAAAACUCAUAGAGAUACGUACAUGUUUUGUUUUGUUUUCAUAAAUAGGCAUAUCUUUGUUUUGAAGUAAUAUAUACAAAGAUUAAAAGAAACAUUUUCAUCUGCAAGAAUAAACCCAAAAAAAACAAACUCUAAAGAUAUUCAAACUCAAAAAUGGGUCCUCGGAUUAAAAGGAGAGAAAACCAUAAAGAAACCAAAAUUACCUAACAAGAAAAAAGAACCCAUAUUUUCAGUAAAUUAAUAAAAUCAAGAGUUUGAUGUAUUUAGAUGCAUAUCUAACCGGAUACAGCAAAAACUUUAACGUUUAAACCUGUAAUUAUCAUCAAAUCCACACACAUGAGAAACUUAUAUAAUGUAAAACGUAUAAAUCAUUGACGGUCAAGAACCCAAACCGAAGGCAAAAACACAGACCCAAACCAGAGCCUACCAUCUCUCUCUUGAACCUCACUUAUAAACUUCAUAUUCUUCCCUUCACUAUCCUCAAGAAUCUCCAUAAUCUCUCCAGUCUUGCCAGAAAGUUUCACAGCCACGGCGUGAGGCUUCCCUCCUUCAAAAAGAAAAACCAAGAGCUCCAUCUUCAACGUCUUUAUGAAGAAUUUCCCAACCCACGGGUGGAUCAUAGAUAACCUCGAAAAUGGAGUUUUCUUGGAAUGCAAGGCAACCCAGAAAUCCCCUGUCUCGGUCCUUCUGAUGUUAUCUGCGUAGCCAGGGAGCUUUGCAAAUAUGUCACGGGUCCCGGCGUUGGGUCCCUUGGCCCAAUAUCGAUGCACAAGUUGCGUUGGGACCUCACAAGAAAGCACGAACGAACCAUCUAUGCUUAAGGCAAGACCAUUAGGGAAAUGAAGACGGUCCAUUAUAACUUUGGCCUCUUUUGUCUUCUUGUCGUAUCGAAUUGCUCUUCCUGUCUUUUCACCGCACAGAAAAGCGUAGAAUACGUCCCUGCUCCAAAUAAUAAUGUAACGUUUAUAAAAAAAAAAUCAUUUUCAAAAUAUCCCCACAUUAAGAUUUUGUUGUCUUAAGAACAUUUUUCUUUUACUUUAUACGUUUAAAAAAAAAAAAAAAGUUGUAAACACGAGCGAACAUUAAAAACCUGAAGGUUAAUUACUAUCUUUCUUCUCAGAUGAUGAAGCUACAAUCUUAAGUAUAAUUUAAAACAAAGAUUUUAUCUAAUAAUUGUAAACCUCAAACGUUAGAAGGAGAAAUUUUAUUUUCAUUUGUGGUUUGCAAUUUGUAAAAUUAUAAAAUACAAACAUGCAAAUUAUCAUUUCUAACCAUCUCAAUUCUCAACAUAGAACACUAAAAAUUAUCCAAUUUUUUUGGUUUCAGUUUUUUUUUUUUAAUUAAAAAAAUUAUUAGAGAAGUGAUGUUAUAAUACCCGAAGUGGUACGUAUCGCUGCUAUCGUUGAAGUAGAUAGCAUCCUCUUCUUCAUCUAUAUCCAUUUGGUUUGCAAACAUAACUUUCUGACCUUCGACCUCGUCCACGACUUUCUCAGCCAAUCCUCCUUUAGGCCCAACCUUCAUUACCCCUAAGUAACCGUCGCAAAAAUACAAAUCUCCCGAUUUCUUCUCGAAGCUAAGUCCCAAAGGCCUUCCACACGCAGGUUCCACCUUAUGGCUCGAACAAUUUUUUCUUCAUAUAUUUACAACACAAAAUUAAAAUAUAGUUAAAUAAUUGUGUUGUCUAUAACCAAUGUUAUUGAUAAUUAAGUGUUUUCAAACAUUAUUAAAUUUACCAAAAAAAUGUGUAUAAUGUUUGUUAAAGAUAUAAAUAUAUAAUAACCAAGAUAUAAAUAUAAAAUUUUAACCAGUAAUAUAAUCAAACACAAAUAUUUGCGUUGAAACAGUCUACUUAUUAUUGGUGCAUGACUUCAUCCAUAAAUAAAACAAACCUAUGGGGAGAUGAGUAGGCGAAUUCAAUCCAGCCAAGAUCUUCACCGCUCCAUUUGAGGAUGCGACCGUCAGUGACGCCAACGUAUGGGCCUUCUCCUCUUGGGUCCAGUCCAGGCUCUCCGGUCCAUCCACGGGAAGGAGGAUUGUCCUCGCUGUGGUUAGGACGUUUUUCGAGCCCUCUAUACUCUCCGGUCCAAUGAUGUAUGGACCCACUAAGACGACCAAGACGGCCAUAAUUGCCACCAAAGCGGCCCACGUUAGAAUUUUCCGACUGAUCGGCAUUGAUUUUAUACUCUGCCUCCUCUUCCGUGAAAAAUGUGUGUUUAAGUGUAAGUUGGAAUGGUAAUUACUUAAUUAUAUGCACGAUUAGCAAUUAUUUGGAUGUUUCUUGUUUGAGAAUACGUGAGAGAGAAGGAAUAAAUAGAGAAAAGCAUAAGCUAUUAGGAGAAGCGAUUCCAUGUUACUACUUUUAAUUACAUGUUUUUUGUCUUUAAGAAUAAUAUUUUUCUUUAUCGAUAAAUAAGUACUAGUUUUCUAAUUAGUUAUUCUGUUCCUUCAACAUGUGGGAACCAUGAGACUAUUAGAUUUAAAUAAAGAUACGCAAAACAGUGACACUAUAAUCAUCAAGUCGAAAUUUCUAGUUGGAAAAUCGUUUAAAGUAGUUGGAUUUAUAUAAUUUUAUUGUUUUUGGAUUUGUAAAGUUUUAGUUCUCUUUAUUGAUAAAUCAGAUGCUCCUCAAGCGUUUAUAGCAUUGUGAGAAUAUAUACUUUUUCUAUUUUCUAUUUUUAACUGUGAGAAUCUUUGGGAGAUGAAAAAAUCGGACUUGUAUUUUAUCUUGUUAAACUGUUUUAAUUUAAAUGGGGAUACUUUGUUUUCACUUUGUGACGUGUGUCUCUCUGUCUUAUGUUAGAAUUAUUCUGUUUGUGGUGAAAAGAAAAAGAGUCACGUUUUUGUAAAGCACUUUUACAGUUUAUUUUCUUACCGAUUAAGACAACCAUUAGAAAGAUGUUUAACAUUAAAACCCUAUUUGCAACCCACAAGAUUAUAAGUUGCGACAAGUAGUUCACUAAUGCAUCAAAUUCCUCACGGCUCACACAUAACUUGCCGUCAAUUCGGAUCCGUCAUCGCUUGAGAAACUAUAUCAAUGGUUCGGCUAAAGGUGGUUCGGAGAAGGAGAUAUGCAGUGAGGGUGAGCUUGGUGGUUUGUUUAGAAAUAUUGGUUUUUGGCUCUUGUUUGCGUUGGUGGAAGUUAUACAGUUUUAGCGUAUGAAGUUUCUUUGUUUAGUCGAUCAUAACACCAAAAAGGAAAAUAGAAUAUGCGGCCUCAUCACUUGUAUUUGAAGUUCAAUAAGCCCAAUAACAUGUCCAGAUCAGCCCAAUAAUCGCGGUAAUACCGUAUACCGUAUCUUACUCUUACCUGGUUAUGUAACUUUCGUUUAUGAUUUUUUAAAAUAUAUAAUAUUUAUAUGGUUAUGAAUAUUAAGGUCAGCGAUGUAGACCAACAUCGAUCUCUUUAACCCUAGCUUGCUCGCUCCUUCAAGAGAUUGAUUUUGGUCUACACCCUUAUAUAAUAACAUUAUUCUAAACCAACCAAAUAAAUUAGUUGUGGCUUUAGAAAGGAGUUUAAUGUUAGCUUUAUAAUCAACUGGAGAUUUUUUGUUGGUAGAGUUACACGAACAUAAUCAUAUAAUCUUUUAUUUAUUUAUUGUAUUAUAUGAUACGUAACAUAAAAUAUAAAGAUUUGGUGUGUAAUAUUUGCUUUCCCUUGGCCUUGUGCUCUAUCGGAGGGGCACUGGCCAUAUACCGUCUAUUGUGUCCUAACAUCGCUUGUAAGGGCAUUUUAAAUUUCGGUUUAGUAUUUUAUUUUUUUACAGAUCAAAGACUAAUGAUGAAACCAUCUUGGGACAGGAAAAAUAAGGAUCAUCUACAUUUUAACUUAAUUAAAAUUCACAUGAAAUGGACUUUGUUAUCCCAGUUUAAUUUACACGUAAAAGAGUUCGUAUAUAAUAUAUAGUAACCAUUCAAAAAGGUUAAUGGUAAUUACGUCAUAUAUAGCCUUUUCCACAAAAUGCCAUUUGAAUAAAGCCUGAUCCCAAGAACGAUUCUAAUCUCUUGAGAUAGCCACUCGUUUUUUCUUUUGUUCCUUUUGGGAUUCUUUAAGCAGUAGAAAUUUGGAAUAUAUUUUUAAAUUUUCAUACAAUACAUUUUUGUAUAUAAAUGUUUUAUUUUUCUGGACAGAUAAAACGACGUAGUUUAUAAAUUGUGAAAAUUAUCAAUAGGAAAACAGAAAACGAUGAGAUUUGUAGAGAAUUGAUUAUAGCCAUACGAUUUAAUGAUUAAUUUUUCAAUGUUAUAAAUGGUAUUAUUCGGUAAAAUAUUCUCGCUAAAAUACGUAAGGGUAACCCCUAACCUUGACAGUAGCCUGUUUUGUGUUGUAGGACUAAAAGCUAACAAUAUGUUUCUGCUAACAUUAUGUUACAUGAUAUAUAUACUUCCAUAUAAACCGUUUUCUAUUCAAAAAUCAGUGAAAAUUUGAGAUCGCACAACUAAAAGCAACCGAAGUUUUCGGAAUAUGCAAAAGUUAUUAACUCGGUUUUUCAUAUUAUUUUGUCGACAAGUCGAGCUGUUCAUAUUCUCAAAAUAGAUCUCAACGUACGGUCGUAUCUUUUUAAUAUAAUGGCUGAGGUUUGGGUUCACCGUAUUAAGAACAUAAGCUCAUUUCUUUUAUAUAAUAAUCUAGUUAUUGUUAAUGAUAUCACGAUGAGCUAACGUGAUUCGAUACUAAUUUAUACACACCGAAACAAAUAAAGACAUAUACUAAUAAUAGUGUAGCUUAUCGAUACAGAAUUGUUUUACAUAUUUUGUCAACUAUAAGACCGAUUGGGUACAACCACUCGUAAUACGCAUCAAUUGUUGUUGUUUUCAAAAAUUGGAUACUAUUUUUCUAUUAAUUGGGUGAUUUUAAGUAACAUCUUUUCCAUAACGUUAACAUAUUACACAAUUAAAGUUUAAUUUCUUAAAACUCCCUUAGAAAAAAGUUUUUAUAACUUUAGUAUUAAUCAUAAAAUAGUCUAUAUAUGUAAAGCAAAGAUGGACGCCACCAGAUACGAUCCACCGUAUCUUCUAUCAUGUCACAUGCCAACGUCUCUCUAUGCGUUAGUAAUAUUCGUGACAUUGACUUUGCAUUUAUACCAAUCUUUAAUCUUAUUUUAUUAUGCACAUGGAUAUAAUUUUGUACUUAAUAUAGAACAAUAUCAAAAUUACAAGUCAAAUACAAAAUAUUCGCUGAAUAAGAUAUGAUAAUUACACAAUACGUUUCUUUCAACCAGUCAAAUCACAGAGUAUGAAAAUUUCAAUGUAAAGAUCGGAUGUACUUAUUAUAUGUGUAGAACAAGUCAAAUAUUUACUUUUGUUUGGCUAUUACAUGGAUUCUAGAUUUUGUUAUAAUAAAUAAUCGGAAAACGUUUUUAUCGUCGUCAAAUUAGUGAGCUCAGAAUACGACUCAUUAAGUCAUGACAAUCUGAUAAAGACACAAAAAGAUUCCACCAACCGGUUGAUUUCUGGUUAAAUAAGAAAAAAAAAUGUUUUUCUUUUUACUGUUGAAAAUAUUGAGACACAAGAGAAAUACACACAAAAAUUGAGAGCUGCUACCAUGAGUCCAUGAAGGCCAAAAAAGCCCGAAGACAGGGGAAGGUGCUGGUCACCGUCAGUUAUAUUAUCUAACCAUUUCUAAAGAUUAUUAAAAAUAUUUUAUCCACCACAAUGUGUGAUCCGAUUUACAUCGACUCACUUAAUGCCUUCAUUUACCGCACUUGUUAAUAGACGUCUUGUUCUUCAAAUUUGUCCAUUUUGUAAAAUUGUAGGGUCAAAAGUUGUGAUGAUGAAGUUAUGAAUGUGUUGAAGAGGAGGAGGGGUCCUCUAUCAUCAAAGAGUCAUGGACGGUUGUGCUGAAGUUUCAUGAGACAAGAUCUCGAUGGAAGAUCUAUUUGACUCUUUUUUUAGGGUUUUUUUGAAAUUGAAAGCAUGUCUUCCCGACACAUCGUGCAUUACAAUUUCAUGAUCACUCCAUUAAUUCAUCAAAUCGCUUUUAUAGUCAACGCCAUGAUCCUUUGACUCUUGCUUCUUGAGCUCUACGAUUGCUGGACUCAAUUCUUUUUUCCGAUAGUUUUUCAGUAUGGUGGUACAUAUAUGUUUUGGUGGUACACUAGCUAGUUUUGUACACAUAAUUUUGUGGCGGUAAAAAGGUGAAACGUGCAAUAUUAGUUUAAGAAAUUGAGAUUACUAGGAUCCUUGUAUCAUAGCCAAUGGUAUGUCAACAAACAAAAAUAAAAGCCAUAGUCUUAUACAAUGGCGGAUCCAGGAAAUAAUUUUAUAUGGAGCACAAUUAUAAAAAAUCAAUAAAAAGACAUAGCAAGGCUUGAACUUGGGUUAAUGUGGGGCACCAUUAAGUAAAAUACCACUACACUACAUACAUUUUUAAUUACAUAAUGCAAACUUAUAUAAGAUUUAUAUAAUUGAGUAUCGGGCACAUGCCCCACCCAAGACCAACGUGUGUCCGCCCCUGGUCUUAUACAUUGUCAUAUUGCUGCGGAUAACAAAUAAAACAACAAAAAUUGACUGUAUAGAAAGAAAAAGAAAAGAGAUAGGAAAUGUGGAAAGUGAGAGAGCAAUAUGGAACCCACUAGACCCAUAAGAGAGUAUUGGUUAUUGGACGGACUUUUCAUGUGUCUACCAUACUUUGGAUACGUGUCGUCCAUAUAAAGAUGAUGAUUGAUGAUGAUAGUGGUGAUGAUGGGCAUGACCAUGGGAGGCAAAUCUUUGGCAGAGAAUCAAGUGAACAUUGCCAUGUCUUUGCCACUACCACACUACCUAACUAUUUAGUAAAUUUUCUUAUUCUUUUGCCAACGAAUCUGAUCGCCAAGUAUAAUACGAUGAGCGCAAAACACUAUUUCACAUUUAGGUUACAUUUUUUUUAUUUAAUACUGUUCGUAGAUGUAAAAGCAUUUAAAAAUAGUAUCUAUAAUACUUAGAAUAUAAAACAUCAUUUAUACUAUAUAUUUUAUAUUGUGGAUUUUUAACAAAUCCCAUUAACAAGAGAUACUUGUAGCAUGGGAACUUACAACUAAAUUACCGUUAUACUACUAUUUUCCUCUCUAAAUAAUACAUUCAUCUCUUCUUAUUUAUCUCCAACCACUAAAAACUUUGACUGGUCAUAUAAUUUUUAUGUUACCAAUCAUCAUAAUUAAGAUUUACCAAUUUAACUUCACAAAAAAAAAGAUUUAUCAAUCUAAUUUACUGAUUGAGUAUUACACCAGAGACCAACCACAUUUGUACUAAAAGUGAGAAAAAGAAAACAUAAAAAUUAUAUCCAAUAAGUAAAUGAUACGCAGCAAAACACGUCACAUCGACUCGCAUAUGAAUACACAAACCCCACAACAUAAACUGCUAAAUAGAAAUAGGGACGAUGUUGUGGUCCGACGAAAAUCUUUUCCACUAGUCACUCUUUCAAUCAGGACCAUUACAAAUUAUUUCGAAUGUUUGUGCAGAGUAUAAAUAAAAACAAAUUGAAUAUUGUAAAUACAUCAACGAUCCACCGUAAAAACAUUCAAAAUUCUAUUCCUUUUUUUUUUUUUUGGGAUUUAAACCACUCUUAACAUUCAAAAUUAUAAGCAAAUUCUUAAUUAGGUUCAACGAUUAUUUGAUCGGUGACAUCCCAGCAGCUCAAUAAACAUAUAUUAAAAUCGAAAAUAAAAAAUACUGUCAUCACAAAAACUCGUUAUUAUUUAAUCUCUUUUAAAACAUCUUGUUUUCGAACAUCUUGCUAACUAAUGUAUAAGUUUUUUUGUUUUUUUAAACGUUAAACUACAAUUCUUUUUGACAAUGAACGGUUUUUUCUAUAUAUAUAUAUUUUCAAAUGGCUGUUAAAACCCACCAAUAGCAAUGCAUGUGGUUGUGGUAGUAUACACAUUAUUAAAUCCCUCAUCCUCUUAUCUUAAAAAAAAAAAAAGUCUUUGGUGGGCUAAACAAAUCCUUUAAAAUCUUCAUAUAGAUUUCUUUCCAUUAUUUAUUUUAUCCAUUAUCAAAGUCUUUUUUUUUUUUAAAUUUCUUUCUCUCGUUGUCUCCUUGGAAAUUACUUUCAUCAUUUAAAAAACUUGCUUACUCCGUAAACCAAAGCUAGAUCCAAUUAGUCUUAUUUCCUUUUUAUUCGUCUCUCUCUCACUAUCCGAGAUUUGGGUUGAAAAAUACAAACCCCCUUUUAUUUCUCCUCUUCUCUCCUACAAGCUCAUUCAGAACUCUCAACAUUUCCGGUAGAGAAAAAAAAACCGUUUUUUUUUUAAUCUCUUUCUAAAGAAGGAUAUCAAAACAAAACACAAAGUUGAAAACUUUGCAUCUGGGUUUGUCUAUUUUAGAUUCAGAUCUUAGUUUUUUUCGAUUGAAUAUCUACAAUGGUAAUGGAAACAGAGUCAAAGUUCCAUGUUUUAGCUGUUGAUGAUAGUCUUUUUGAUCGGAAAAUGAUUGAGAGAUUGCUUCAAAAGUCUUCAUGUCAAGGUAGAUUCGAAAAAGCCAUAAUCUUUAAGCUAUAUGUAUUGGAGAAAGAGAAGGAAGAUAUACUGAAAAAAAGGUUUCUUUAUUUGGUUCUUGUUCUUAUGUUUUGCAGUAACUACAGUUGAUUCAGGCUCUAAAGCUCUGGAAUUUCUGGGUUUAAGAGUAGAUGACAACGACCCAAAUGCACUCUCUACAUCGCCACAAAUUCAUCAGGUUCAGUUUUUGAUCUUUUACAUGAUUCAAAGUUGGUUACUUUCGAAAUUUGCAAUGAAUGGUUAUAUUGAGAUUUGUUUGUAAUUUGUGGCUUUUGAGCAGGAAGUUGAAAUAAAUCUAAUAAUUACAGAUUACUGUAUGCCUGGCAUGACUGGUUAUGAUUUGCUCAAGAAAGUUAAGGUAUUUCUUCUCAAUUUGGUUACUGUCUUUUCCAUCUCUGGCUAAAUUCGUUUCCAGAAAAAGAAAUAAAGUUUUUUACUUUAGUUUUCUUUUCCAAAUGAGAAUGUCAAUGGAGAAAUUGAAAAUCUCAUUUUGGAAUAUUUUCCCACUCAAAAACUUUCCUUUAUGCCAUUGUUUGAUAAAAAAGAACAAUUGAUUUGCUUCUGAGUAAUCUACAUGAUUGUUGUGUAUAGGAAUCAGCGGCGUUUAGAAGUAUACCUGUAGUUAUAAUGUCAUCUGAGAACGUUCCUGCAAGAAUCUCCAGGUAAGAGCUCUGUUUCUUUAAAGUUAAUUUGAGUAUUAUUGAUUUGAGAAUUGGCAAGUGGAUACUAUUAUUCGAUUCUUUGGUUUGAAUAAGUCUUUGAACUAUCUACAAAAUUGUGGUGGUUUCUUCCAACAGAUGUUUGGAAGAAGGAGCUGAAGAGUUUUUCUUGAAACCAGUGAAGUUAGCUGAUCUUACCAAGUUGAAACCUCAUAUGAUGAAAACGAAGUUGAAGAAAGAAAGUGAGAAACCAGUUGCCAUAGAAGAGAUUGUGGUGUCUAAACCGGAGAUAGAAGAAGAAGAAGAAGAGUCAUCAGUGAUUGAAAUCUUGCCUCUCCACCAAGAAAUUGAAUCCGAACAACUUGAACCAAUGUUGAGUAGUAAUAAGAGAAAAGCAAUGGAAGAAGUGGUUUCUACUGAUCGAUCACGUCCUAAAUACAAUGAUAUCACAACCUCGGUCUGAAGGAGGACUAACGCAACCCGAGAAGCCACUACAAGACCUAUAUGGAGAAUGCCAACAGAAUCUCUCAGUAGAAGAUCUGCUAACUCUUGCAUCUGAAGCAAACAACAACGGACUGCAAGGAGGACUAACGCAACCCGAGAAGCCACUACAAGACCUAUAUGGAGAAUGCCAACAGAAUCUCUCAGUAGAAGAUCUGCUAACUCUUGAAUAUGAAGCAAACAACAACGGACUGCUAGGAGUAAUACCGCAGCAACAUCGUUAUCAUCAGGAAAAAGAGACAAUGCAGACACAAGGAGAUCCACUAAAUCGAAUACCUAUUCAAUCAGAAGCUUCAAACCAUUCAGAUAGUGGUAAGUAGCAACACUAGAAAUGUGGUUUCAUACUAUAGCUUUUGUCAUCUCUUAUCUUACUUGUUUCUUGGUUGUUCUCUCUUUUCACUCAGGUGAUAGCACACUAACAAUGGCUCAAAACCAGGAUGGUCUCGGACACAGUAGUUGUUUUAUUCUCUGUCAAUUUACUUCUCUCCCCUAGAUUAGCUUUCUUCGUUUUUUUCUUUUAUUUUUCAUGCUGUUAAACCCACAAGAUUUUUGGGAAGUUUCUUGCUACUAGCUUAAGAAUCCAAAACUAUUGCAAAGAUUGAAGCUUUCGAGAAUUAGUAAUGAAUCUUAUCAAAACUAACAGCUACAUUUACUAGCUUAAGAACCAUUAAACGAAUUGUAAAAUUCUCUCAUCUUGUGGGUGUAACAGCAUCAAAGAUCUAAAUCCAAUCUUAUCAAAAAUUGGAAGUGGUCGAAAGUUUUGGCCUUUUGAUACGAACAAGCUUCAAAGAUAUAAUUCCUGAGAUUGAAGAUGAAAUUUUUAUGAUUUGUUCCCUUUGGAAACGAAAACUGUAUUAAGAGAGCUAUUUGUCCCACAUCGGAAAAACAAAACGUUUUGUUGUUGUAUAUAAUAGGGAAGGUAGCGAGUAUUGUACGUCGAACUCAGUAACGCGGGCUUGUGAUCCAAGUGGAGACAAUAAGGGGAUGGGACGUUGGGUCGAUCUCAUUGGGCCGGGUUCGGGUUGGGCUAUAUUCUGGCCCGCCCAUUCCAAGUUGGGAGUUGAGGCAUGGGCUUCGAGCGAAGGCUCGGGUCUCAUGUCUUCUAGAGUGGGGGAGACCGCGUGAGGCUGGUUUCACAGAGCAGCGUCCACCUCCCGCUCUUGACGGUGGAAGGAUUACGGGCCAUUGCCUUCCGAGCCCACUAUGACCCAAUAAGCCGCUCCGAUUGGACCAUCACUUUUUUAUUUUCUCUUUCUUAUUUUUUUGUGUACUCUCUCGUUUUUUUCAGUAUUUCAAAACUGGACAAUAAUAUUAACGUUUAACUAUAAAGAAAGCAAAAUCAUUAGCCCUAAUUUUGAUUAGAGAUAACAUUCCAAGAACUAUCUAAAAAGAAAAAAAAAUGUGACAAAAGGAAGCUUCUGUGAUGUUUGUUGCAUCAAAUUAUUUUACAUAAUUAUUUAUUUCCAAUCACAUGAGUAAUAUUCAUUAUGCCUCCUUUUUAUGCAAUAUUUCUGUUGUUUUGUGAAGUACUAUCAACUAACGAUAGGAAAAAUACAAAAGUUUAAUUAUAAAUAUGAAAGGAAACAAAAUAUGUCCAAUUAUAAGGGAAUAAUUAUUAGUUCGUUGGGGAAAUGUCAGCUAGCUCGUAAAUGACAUUUAUUUUGGUAUUUAAAAACAAAAUAAACACACUAUCAAAAUUUGCAUAACAUAUAGUACCAAGUAAUCAACCACUGGGUCGGGUUGAUAAAGUUUGGGUUGCGAUCUUCUCUUUUUAUUGGUCGAACAGUGACGUGUCCCCUAACGCUGUCCUAACUGGCCAGAAAGAGACACGGCUGGUGAACAGAACCCACACGUGGCGAUGUCUUAUUGCUGGAAAGAUCCUCUCGUGUCCCACGUGCCUGAUUAUUCUUUCAUAUUUCAUCUCCUUUACCGUAAAAAUUCCACCAUUGGAUCUCCCAAUUUUUCCAGUGAUUUUUCUUCUCUUCAGCCAAAUGAAUUGAGCUCACAAAACUGAGAGAGUGAGAGAUUAUGGCGAUGCCUUUGGAAAUGGCGAUGCUUUUGACGAAAACGGUUUGGUUUGCUCUGAGCGGCUGGAUUUUAACAUGUUUGUCCAUCGCCGACGAGAUUGCUGGUUCACUCAGAAACCGAGAAGUUGGUCCUCCUUUACAUCUCGCAUGAUCACAUUUACAUUCUUCACCUCUUUCCUAGCUCCUACUCGAUUUUCAGCUUUUUUUUUUCCGGUGUGAAUCGUCCCAAAAGAUUGAAGAGUUUGGGUUUAUAGAGGAGAUAAAUAUAUAGGUAUAGGUGAUUUGUUUGCUCAUAGAUAUAUUAUACGUGUUAAUUAUUUGUGUGUGUUUCUGCUGAUUUGAGAGAAUUAUAAUAUGUGUGUCAAUUGAUGCUUGUCUUCUGGUUCUUAUUUCCAAAAGUGAAUUACUUUCAAACUGUGAUGAAUGAUAUGUGAAUUUGGACUAUAUUCGUCCAUUUGAUGAGUUACAUUCCUAGAGUCUAGAGAUUCAGCUGAUUUUAGUUGAGAAUCAUUCAAAUAGCUUAAAAAUGUUACAAGACUAAUUGUAGGACGAGUUAUGUCAGAAACUUGUUUCAAAUUUGACAUGAAGAAAUUAUAAGCAAAUAGUAAGUAAAGAUUUCACUUCCUUUUUCUGUUGGUAAAAGCAAAAAAGUACAUACAUAUUGAAAUAUUCUAAACAAAUUUAGCGCGUUGGCUUCUUUCUUUACGGAUAAGUUACCAAGAUUUCCUUCUUUUUAUACAUAAAAGAAACUAAAAUAACUUCUUUUGCCCAUCUUGCUUUUGUUUAUGAUGAUGAUGAUAUUUUCUUUAUUUAUUCCAGUUAUUAAAAGGCAAAGUACCAAAGGAAUCUUCAAUGAGUGUUCCUUGUGCGAUUCAGCUUCAUGUUUAUUCUCAUAUAACAGAAAGUAUCAGUGCACAGCACAAUUUCUCUAACAGUAAACUUAUAUCCAACUUUUACUUUGUAUGUGUCGUCGGGAUUUGAAUGUGUGGUAUGAUAUUUUAUUUUAGUCUUCUAUAACAAUUAAGUUUCUAUAAGGUUGGAUAUUAAUUUGCUCUGUUUUUAUUACCCUAGAAAAAUUAUAUUAGUGGGAGUCAUUGGCUAGUUCACGUUUGGAAGUUAUGCAAUUUUUGAGGAUCUUGACAGUUUACUUUCUUUGAUUUCAGUUAUAAUUACUUUUCUGAAAUUAAGCUCUAAAAAUAAGGAUCAAAUGGAUACUUACCUUAGUUAUCAAAUCAAAGCAAAUUCGAUAUGGACGAAUCAACAUCACAAUCGUCUUCUUUAGUGUUUUCACCAUCUUCCACCUCUAACUUACUUAGACAGCUCCUUUCCACCUGUUUCUUCUCUCUCUGUCUUUCUUUUUUCUCUUUCUUCUUUUAUAUUCUCCGACAAAAGAAAAAGUACAAGAUACCCAGAAAAAGAGUGUAGAAACUACAUUUGUUCUUCUUCUCUGUUCUGCUUCGAAAUUAUGGGUUCCUCUGUUUCUAAAACCGCUUCCUCUGCUUCUGCUUCUUCUAUAACAUCGAUUUUGAAUUCACCUCCGGAGACGGAAUUCAACAUCCCUUCUUCAUCGGUACCUAAAGCUUUCACAUUUCCGAUGCCGUCGAUUCAUCAUCCACCUGCUAAAAAAGGCGACACACACCACUUUGUCUCUCUUACAUCGACCACUUACGGUUCUCUUGUUCUCGACGACAGACAAACAUUGCCUCACAUCUCCGUUUCCGGGAAGAGUAACAAGAAGAUGCCUGAAACAGAGGAGGCUCGCGACUCGUUCUCUCCUGACUCAGUGAUCAACACAUGGGAGCUCAUGAACGACCUCGACGACGAAUUCGAUUCCGCGAAUUCCGAUACAAGUAAGAGUAAUUCCGUCGUAAAUUUGGAUUCCUUUUCUAAACCCAUCACGAAUCGAGACGUGGUUAUUAAUGGGUCUGCGUAUGGAUCUUACGAAGAUGAGGAAGAUUGGAGAUUAUUGCCUUUUAAACCUAAGCAACCUCUGUGGAAACAUAUGUCUGAAGAAUCAUUUCUCUCUGAUUUAGAUCCUAACAUUAUCUCAUCUUACAAAAGAGCACUGUCCUCCAAACAGCUAGGCAAGAACAGUAGCAAUGGCCACUCAAAUCAUUCGGUUUUAGUCAGUUUACCAGAAUAUGUAUCUUCUAGUCCAUUGAGUUCUCAGACUUCGGAAAAAGACCAAGAGAAACCAAGAUUGCUUGAAAAAGAAGAUAACGAGAACAAGAUAGUAGUAUACUUCACUAGCCUCAGAGGAAUUCGAAAGACGUAUGAAGAUUGUUGUUGCGUUAGAGCGAUAUUGAGAGGGUUUCAGGUUGCGGUAGAGGAGCGUGACAUCUCAAUGGACUCCAAAUACAGGAAAGAGCUUCAGAAUGCACUCGGCGAAGAGAAACCGGUUUGUUUGCCUCAGGUGUUUAUAAGAGGCGUCCGCAUUGGUGGAAUUGAGGAGAUCAAGAUACUCAACGAUGGAGGUGAACUGGCAGAGAUGUUAAAAGAUUUUCCUGCUUGCGAAUCCAUUGGAGCCUGCGAUAGCUGCGGAGAUGCAAGGUUUGUGCCGUGUACUAAUUGUGGCGGUAGUACUAAAGUGUUUGAGGAACAAGAAGAUGGGUUUAAGAGAUGCAAUGGAUGCAAUGAGAAUGGAUUGGUACGUUGUAACAAGUGUUGUCUUUAGUAAUUGGAUUCGUUUGAGUGAUGUUGUUGUGAAAAUGUGAAGAGAAGAAAAAGAAUCUAAAGAUAUAACUUUUGACUUAAGAUAUGUUUGGUUGGUUGUGUUCUUUGAAUGAUUUGUUUGUUUUCAUGCUGUAUAUUAUAAGAAGUGGCCUAAAGCUCAAACCUAGAAUGUCAAGCCUCAAUUGUUUCUUCACGUUGAUCUUUGUAAUUUACAUGUUAUAAAAUGAUUUUUUUUUCCAAACAAAUACAAACAGGAUGAAAAUAUUUAUGUAAACCUAGAACUAUUUUAUUUCUUUGAAAAUAAUAGCUAAACCUUUUUUUAAUAUGGAUAUGCAAACUGAAAAAUUAGAGUUUGCUGUUUUGGCCUUUUGGUCUUGUACAAAUUUGUUUUUGUUACAUUUUACAGAUGACCUGUUACGGCAGUAGCGGUAACGAAAAUGUUACUAGGCAUUCCACAGUAAUUGUCUCUUAACGUCAUCUACUAUCUUAUCUCUUCUAGCUAUUUUAGUAUGGCUUACCAUUUUUCCAAAAACCAGUGUCACUAAAGUUACAGAACAAUCGCCUUUGACUACAUCACCUGCUUGAUCAUUGGCUACCAUCCAAGUCUGUUUGUAAACUUCAUCCGCUGUCACGGUAAAAACGUCACGGGUAAACUGAUUAUUGAAAACGACAACGGGUCUUAUCAUCUUCAAACCCCUCACAUUACUCAAGCUUUGCUUCCUUCCCCGAGACCGAGAGAGAGAGAGAGACGAUGGAGGGGAAAGGGAAAGAGAUAGUGGUUGGACAUUCCAUUAGUAAAUCAAGUGUAGAGUGUCACAAAUAUUACCUGGCACGUCGAACCACCAUGGAGAUGCUCCGAGACAGAGGAUACGAUGUCUCCGACGAAGAUAUUAACCUCUCCCUCCAGCAAUUUCGAGCGCUCUAUGGGGAACAUCCUGACGUAGAUCUACUUCGUAUCUCAGCCAAACAUCGCUUUGAUUCUUCGAAAAAGGUAAUUGGAAUUCGAUACGAAUACGAAUGUGAUUUCGAUUUCUGAUGGUUUUCUUUCUCUGCAUGUUGAUUUUUCUGCCUAGCUUUUGAAAUCUACUUAGUGUUUUCCAUUGACUUGAUUUAGUUGUAUGUAAUAUGCAAUUUGUCUGAAGAAAGCAUUCUACUUUUAAAGACUUCCUCUGAUUUCCAGCUUGGUUCCUAGUUAGGUUUGGUUUUAUCUGAUUCCUCUGUUUUUGAAACAGAGACGUUGUUUCUUCUGGCAAAAAUCUAAAUGGUUCGACUGGUUUAAAUUUGGUUAGAUAAGAAUGGUUAGGUAAUUGGGUUUGUUAGCACUAAUCAGUUAGUUAAUGUGUAAUUACCAUAGUAAUACUUGUAAGGUUAAGAGUUCUAAUAAACAAUUUUCACAUUAUUCUCUGUUCUUGGCUUCUCCUAUUCAGAGUUAAUAAUAUAGUACUUGGCUUAGGCCGAACUGCAAAAGAACUCCUCAGCGAGGUUGUUUCCUUGAAAUUUAUUAUCGUCGUUUGCUGUUGUCACUGAAGUCACAAGUACAUAGCAAUUUCUCUGAUUUGAAUUUCAGAUCUCGGUAGUGUUUUGUGGAACUGGUAUAGUUAAAGUCAAUGCGAUGCGCGUCAUUGCAGCAGAUGUGCUUAGCCGAGAAAAUAUAACCGGACUGAUACUGGUUUUGCAAAGUCAUAUAACGAACCAAGCUCUUAAAGCCGUUGAACUUUUCUCCUUUAAGGUCGAGUUAUUCGAGGUAAUAUAUCUUUAUCUUGAGUACCGUGUUAGGUUAUGUGUUCCCACAUUUGGCUCAUAACAUCUUGGUUGCGCUUGUUGUGUUGUUAGAUUACCGAUUUGUUGGUUAACGUAAGCAAACAUGUCUUGAGGCCAAAACAUCAGGUUCUGAACGAUAAAGAGAAGGAAUCACUUCUCAAGAAGUUCAGUAUUGAGGAGAAACAAGUAAGCAAGUUUUUUGGUAUUUGGAUCAUUACUAGUACUAGUAGCUCUGACUCUGAGCCAGCUUUUCUCUGAAUUAGAAUGUUUUUUUUGGUUAGCUUCCUCGGUUAUCGAGCAAAGACCCGAUUGUGCGAUACUAUGGACUAGAGACAGGGCAAGUCAUGAAGGUCACAUACAAAGACGAGCUCAGUGAGUCGCAUGUUACAUACCGAUGCGUUUCUUAAACUCGUUUUGUUUAUAUUUUCAGCUCUUUCUUUGUGUAGCAAUUUAUCUGUAACAUGUUUUGAUGUAAAAACCUGUAAUGUGUUUCUUGUGGUCUCUAAACCAAACAAUUUUGAUAGUUAAUUAAUGUGUGGUUAACAUAAAUACACAACUCUGUUUAAUAGUUUACAAAAACAUAGAAAGCUUGGUCAAAACAAAACAAUGGUCAACUAUGGACGAUGGUCGAAUCUGGCUGAUUCAUGUUUGACCCAUGAGUUGACUUUCUCAGCUUCAUGGCCAAGUCUUUGCUCCUCCCGUCUGGCCGCCUUAAGCUGAUGCUCUUGCUCCUUCACGGAAAAGGUGCUUGUGUCCGAUAGAUACUUGUCGUCGCCGGUUUGCCACCUCCGGUCGCUAGUGCUCCCCAUCGUACUACGUCUGGUGCUAUCUGGAUCGCGAGAACAGCACAAACUUGAUCCCAUGUGGUUCAAAACUAAAAUCUUUGAUGAAAAGAAUUAUUCAGAUACGAAAAUAGAUGAAAGUUUAAGAACAAAUGAGAUAGAGACAGAAGGGUUGGUUUAGUGUUGGACCAAAUUAUGUAUUUGCUGAAAUAAUUAGUGGUUUUGAAAUUUUUUGCUUCACAUUUUAUACAUAAAAAUAUUGGAGUGUGACGUCAAUAAACAAAACAAUUUAUUAACAAUUUAUUUCAAUCACGAAAUCAUUUUGUCAUUACUAUCAUUUCACAGGUUAACACUUUUAAUGCUUCCAAACCAUUUAACAAAUGAUAUGAGAGCAUUAAAAUUUUGAGAUUUGUUGUUAAUUGUUAGUCACAAAGAAUAUUAUGAGAAUUUUAAACCAACAAAAAAAACUUUAUGAGAAAUUGGCCUUUUUUGAAUUAACUGUUAUAUUCAAAAUCCGCCAAUAACAUCGCUCUAAUUAUCUCUCUUUCCCAAAUCUGGAAAAUUUAGGGUUCCAACAAAAACGCGAUCGCAUUACCCAAAAAUUCAAAUUUGCAACUGAUUUCGUCCUGUUUGAAUCACUCCAAUUCUAUUGCUUUCUUCGUCGUUUGAUCCAAAACAGUGAGAAGCGAUACACCAUUUUUUCUGGGUGUGUGAAUUUUUAUUUUACCCCAAAUUAGAUUAGAGACGAUGAGCGACGUCACCGGUGAUCUCGCGGCGGUGAGUGAAGCCAAGGGAGGUUCUGACGCCGCCCGGAUAUCGGAGGUGAAGGCGUGGCUCACCUCUCAGUUCGAAGCUGUCGGCAAAGAAGUACCCAAUUUCGAGUACACUCAUCGAAGCAUUACCCAUUUGUAUAAUCUCGCUACCGCUUCUCAAGCUAAGUCUCAGGCUGCCACCAUUGUCGCUAACGAUUUUCGUCUCAAGGCUUCAGAAUAUCGUGCUCAAGGUACUUGCUUGUAAUCCUUAGCUCCUAAUUUGCUCGCGUGGCUGAUUCGAAUUAUGAAAAUCUUCUUUUGGGCAUUAUCAGUUUCUGAUCUGUUACUAUGAUUUCAAACAAAGUUGUGUUUUUUUGGAAAUUUCCAAGUUCCUCUCUCUUAGAUCUCUGGGUGGAAAUUUUGUUGAUGUAGCGGCUAGGAUUAGAGAGAUAUUGGAGAGUGCAGGAAUGUCACAAGAGAGCUUACCGUCAAAUGUGGUCUCUUCAGCUCAAGUUCUUGCAAAUGUGGCUAAUUUGUUGAACAUACGGGACACUGAACUGAGCAGGUGACUGUACUGUUAGCUCUCUCAUUAGAUGUGUUGCUAUCUCGAAUCGGGAAACUGAUGCAGAAGAAAUAUGUAUAGUUUCCUUGUAGCAAUGGGAGACAUAUCUCUGAGGAAGACUGGAGUGGAAGAGAAGAGGGCUAAAGCACAGAAGGAGUCCAAUGCUCUUCUUGACUAUACAAGGAAAGCGAUACAGAGGCUGACGUAUUUGAAGAAGUAAGUUUCGUAAUAAAGCACCAUAUAACUUAUAAUAUGAUCUUGGUGGUGGUGUACAUGUAAACCUUGCCAUUUUUCCUUUGGGAUGUGACUUAUCUAACUUUAUCUGUGUGAGCUGUUACAGAAUCCUUGCGCAGCUAGAAGAUGAUGUAGUCCCUUGUGAAUCACAGAUGGAGAACUGGAAAACAAAUUUGGAAGUGAUGGCGGUGAAGGAGGAACAAUACAUACAGCAGUACAAGAAGUAUGAGGUAGACUCCUUCUUCUUUUAGUUUUUACAUUCUCAGUUGGUAAUAGGUAAACUGAGAAUCAGAUACCUUCCUGCAAUUAGCUCUGGUGAGGGGUAUUUGAGAAUCAUAUACUUUUAUGUAAAAACUGGAACAAAAUGGAUUGUUCUGUAACUUUAGUGCCCUUUAGUGACACUGGUUUUUGGAAAAAUGGUAAGCCAUACUAAAAUAGCUAGGUGCUUUUGAAACAGGAUGGAUUAGUAAGGGUUGCUAGUAAUUGAGGAUUUGAUUCUAGGGCUAAAGUUUUUUUAAGUUUUGUUACUCUCAUAUCAUAAAAACACACACACACUCUCUGAUUAAGUUCUAGAUCGUAUCAGAAAUGCAGUGAUGAUGUUCACUAGGUAAGUCAAUAUGAGUUUUUGAAGUCUAAUGUGCUUCUAGUGGUUUGUUGUGAUUUAUAUGGAUGAUUUGGCUCCUUCAAAUAAUCUGACAGAGUCAAGAUGAAUGGUUUUGAUAGCAGAUGUUACUCAAUCGUGUUGGCUACACUCCUAAGAUCAGCCACAGAGAGCUGGUAGAAAUGGCAGAGCACCGGAAGGAAUUGGACAAGAUGACAAAACCAGUCCUUGAUACUCUACGAAGCUACCAGGAUUUACCUCCGGUAAUCUUCAUCUCUGGUUCUCCAAGCCCUUAUUGAUCUGCAUUGUCAAUCUCCUCUUUGUUAUUGGUCAUUGCUAGUCCUGGUUCACAGUAGAUUGGUUGUUCAUUUCUGUAAACAGGACAAAGCUUUAGCUGCACUAGCAAUCGAAGACAAGAAAAGACAGUUUACAGCCGCGGAAAAGUAUCUAGAAGAAGUAUUACAAUCAGCCCUUGAGACAAACGAUGAGUGAUCGAUAUAAACCAGAAAAUAUUAUGUUUUGGGAAUAUGUAACAUAUGUUUUGUAAUGCAACAAUCUCUCGGUUAUUAAACUCUACUGGUGAGAUAGAUCAUUUUCUUGUUUCAGCAGUUCUUCAGUUUGUCUUUGCAGUUCUUGAGUCCGGGCAUUAGUUGCAGCUGUCACUUCUCUUAUAAGCGUGGUGAUUAGGGGAAGUAAUUUUUUGAGUUCAGAAAAACUCAAAUGGGGAAUUCUGCUUCUCUCAUACUCAAGAAGAUGUGCAAAAUCAAGACCCUGAGCGAUCCACUUAGUCUGGUCAAGUCGUUUGCGAAGAAGUUCACGUUCCUCAUUGUACUUGUCAUCAUCAUCUUCAAACACAAAGGAUCCUCCUCCAUUACCUUCCAGUACAAUUUUUGCAUGCUUGACAAUCUUUUCAGUUCUGUCAUGAUAACAACAAUUACAACACAUUCAGUCACAAACAAUUUACUUAGAACUUCAACGAAUACCAAGAUCCAGGAAACAUACGUGAAGAAUUCGUUCUGAAUCUUAACCAACACAAUCUAAGAUACAUGAAACAUACAUGAAGAAUUCGUUCUGAAUCUUAACUAACACAGUGUAAGAUCCAUGAAGAAACAUGUUGAAUACGAAUCACGGAUCUGAAUCUUAACAAAACCAAAACCAGUCUACGAUUCCAUGUAGAAUUCGAAUUCGUAUACAGCUACUACCGAAUCACGGGAUCUUAGAACUACAAAUAUGAAAGUUUCCUUAAAUUUGCAACUAAUUACUUCCAAUUCUAUUAGAACUAGAUCCAAAACUAUAUUUCUUAAAAAAUUAGGUAUUAUUAACCCUGCGCAGACCUGCCCCUUGCAUGGCUGUUUAGUUUCUCUAACUUAUAUAGUCAAAAAGAAAAUCUGAAAAGACGUUUGAUCAAUGGCUAGAAACGUAUCGUCGUGGUCAUCCCUUUCUUGUUUGCCCGACGAGAUGGUUCUGAACUGCCUAGCCCGCGUCCCGAGACGCUACUACGAAAACAUCUCUUGCGUCUCCGUAAGGCUCAGGUCCCUUGUGCGUACCCCUGAGCUCUACCGGAUGCGAUCCCUCCUCCACAAGGAUUCCAUCUACGUCUGCUUCUGCGAUAGGGAGAAUUAUUCGACUGAUGCCACCUAUCUUUGGUUCACUCUCCGUCCCACGACAGCGACGAUGGAGUAUCAAUUGGUCCCGCUCUCGUUCCCUAGUCAUAAUUUCAUGUUCCGAGCUUCCACCGUCGCGGUGGAUUCAGAGAUAUACUUUGUGGGCGGACGUCCAAACCCGACCGAGUUGUGGAUCCUUGAUACCCGGUCUGGCAAGUUACGUCAGGGCCCGAUCAAGCCGGAGUUCCUACGAAUUGCGUCUAGCAGCGCCGUGGGAGUAUUCGACGGAAAGAUACAUGUGAUCCAAG
rnacentral:lncRNA from 1 species